UUUUUUUUCUUUUCUCUUCUCCCUUUCUUCCGUUCUUGCUAUCCACUUCUUCUUAUUACCCUUCCUGAUCUGAGGGUCUAUUGGAAACAGUCUCUCUACCUUUUAGGUAGGGGUAAGGUCUGCGUACAGACUACCCUCCCCAGACCCCACCUAGUGGGAACAUACAGGGUUUGUUGUUGUUGUUGUUGUUUAAAUUACUAUAACAUAAGCAUCCCCUCCAUGUUUCCCUUUAUUGCUAUGACAUGUAUGACCUCUCUCUGUUCCUUCAUCUUGUCUCAGACUGCUAUAUCAUGACUUUCCCAUCCCUAUUUCCCUAUCUUCUUCAUUACGUUUUUGCACAUUUUCAUAAGUUAAACUGACUUCUCUCUUUUGCCUUUCUUUUCUCGUCUCUUCUUUUCUUUCUCCUGUUCAUCUUUACCAUAUUAUUUACUGUUUUAUGCACUUUUAUCAUGCAAAUACUUGACAAUAUGUUACUAUUUCUGCAUAAAGCAUGAUCCACAUCAUACUCCACUCGUGCUUAUUAUCAACAUAGCGGUGCUUGAUGAGUGUCCGCACUUAUUUGCGGUAGACUAGUCGAUCAGCGGCGCAAUCGACGUUCCCAUGCCUUUCCUUCUCAAUAUUGUCCACUUGAGAGUACCAGUCUAGACCUUUCUAGAAAAUCACACUCCGAUUUGAAGUGUACAUGCAUCAUGAUAAGCCUAGUAUGGAUUGAGACGUCAUUGACAUAACAACCUGCUUAGAUGAACCUUGUCCAAAGUCUGACGGGAUUUCCAUAAUCCCAAAGGACACCAUCAUAUUAUGUGCAUUACUUGGAGAAAACGUGGCAACAUGUUGAUCAUUAUUUGCGUAAAUAGUUCAAUCUGGAAUGGAAAGGACUAACCUUUAUUUGUUCGCAGAAAAUAAAGCACGAAAUCCCCAUGUUCGGUAUGGUCCAGAAUAUCCCACCUCUACUAACUGGUGGAAUGACCUUGCACCCUGUGACAGAAAUCAUGUGAGGAGAGUAUUGGGUAACUUGCCAUCUUUGCUGAACAUUCAACCAAAUAGGGAACUGAUCGAGGCUGCUACUAUGUUCUGGGAUGAAAAAAGAGUUGUUUUCCAAUUUAGCAAUAUAGAAAUGACUUCUCUCUUGGAAGAAAUAUGGGGUUUCGCCAAGUUACCAUGGGAUAGUCCAGGACUGUUGGUGCCAGAGAAUCACACUCCACACGGUUUUCUGAAAUGUUGGGUUUUAAGAAGAAUGAUGAGCUGAUCCGUUUGAAGAAAUCAUACAUCCUCUUUGAAUUUCUCUAUGAGUGUUAUGGGCAUAGAAAAUCAUAUCGCCUUCAUCAUGAGGAGCUAGCCAUUACCUUUUUGGGAUGGGUACACUGCCGGGUUUAUGUUUUCAUAGUCUGUUUCUUGGGUUAGCUAAUCUUUCGAUGCAAGGGGACGAAUUCAUACUCGCUUAGCCAUGGUCGCCAGGACCUUAAUGAAGGGUAUUAAGGGGCAAAAUUACAUUAUCAUCCCAAUGAUCUUAGCUGAGAUGUAUUGUGAUUUGGAUCGGUGCAAGCAUAUGUCCAGACACUUUGGGGGUUGUAAUCUCUUGCUACAAGUUUGGCUCUUGGAACACUUUCAGAGGGGUGAGUAUCACCAGGAGCUUCUGCGAAGGCCGUUGAAUGACUACGUAGCCAAUCAUCAUCCAAAACAAAUAACGUUCAUUCCAGACUGGUUUGCAAAGCCAGGAAAUGUUGUAGGAUGGGUGCGUUUCUUCAGCAAUCUGAUCGAUGAGCAAGUGCAUUGGAUGUUUAAAUGGUUUCCUAGCAGUGAGUUCAUUAUCACAUCCAACAGAACUACUCACUUAGUACUGAUCGGGCUGUGAGGCAUAUACCCUUACGCUCCUAUAAAGGUAAUGAGGCAAGCUGGAAGUAAAACAAGUCAUACCUCGGGUUUCCAAAAUGGUUCGGUAUAAGGAAGAUUCAAAGGGGAUGUCAUCCCAUUCAAGCUCGAAGUGCAAUACAUGUGAAACCAAAAGAUCAUCAUGGAAGGAGGAACCAUUGAACCAGACAGGUAUCAUGCCGAUCAUAUGUACUACUAUCUCUCGUGGUUGGAGGACGACAUAGACGGGGACAUCAAACUGGGGGUCAAUCUGAAAGAUAGGAUCAUAGACGAGGUGGCUGAGGCACAUGUGAUUUAUAAGAGGCUACGCAAAAGGGUGUUCGAAUCAGAAGAUAAACAUCUAGAACAACAUAAAGUGAACUUGGAGGUGAUAAAAGAAUGGAAAGAGAUUUCCACUAAGUCGAUAGAGAGGUUAGAAUAUCUAGAGCAAGGAUUGAUGGAACUAGAAGGGAAGAUGAGAAAGAGGCUUUGGGAUUGUCAAGGCAUGGACGAUGAGGGAGGGAAGCUGACCAAGGCUUAUUUUCUACUAGACGUGCGUGAUCUGGGGAACAUGAUUGAUGGGGUCAAGAGAACCAAGAAUGGAGACGGUCCUUCAGAGACCAAGUAGAUUAGAAAAUGUUGUCCUUUACUACUUUCUAGAUUAGAUUUCGAUGUAAUAAGGCUUGAUGCUAUUAGUGACUUUAUUAUUAUUGUCAAUUUAGUGGAAUAUUGAUUUGUCUUAUUUUUGCACUGGUGGAAUGAGGCGAACGUUGGCAUGAAUUUUCUCUAAGUCUAUGUGUCGCUUAGGCCUACCUCAGGCACAAUGAAGUGCCCAAAUUUAGGACGCGAAUUAUUGCAUGACUUUAUAUGAUAUAUGACUAAAUAUUUCAAACACUCUUUUACUUCGCCUUACUGACUUGGUUACCUUUUUGCUUUUUUCUUUCUUUUUGAUUAUUCACAUUUCCAAAGAUUGGUUCGUGCAUACUUGAAUCAUCAGCAUACCAUAUUAUAUCCAGAGGUCCUCUACCUCCUUCUCCACCUAGCAACCCGAAAAGCAAUAGCAAGGGAAAAGGGAAAAUGGAUGAUUUAAGUAUCCGGAGAGAUAAUCCUGCUAUGGCGGAAAAUAUUGAAACUUCAGAUGGUAGAAGCACUUCGGGGCAGAAUGAGUUGGUCUUACGUUUGGAGCAGAAAAUCCUAGAACUACAGGGCGAGCUUGAGCAGGUCCGAAAUCUGGCAAACCUUUACCUUACUCUCAAUAUUCCUUACAUCAACCAGCAAAACCCAACUACCCAGAACCAAACACCGCCACAAAACACACAAAACCAGAAUCCACCACCAAUAGCUCCAAAUCCUCCCACACCAUAGCAGUAUCAUAAUCCCUCACUUUCCCAGAACCUUAACCCACCACCAGUGCAAACCCCUCAACAAUAUCACCAUCAUCCAACUCAAUACCCGUAAACCACUACUUAUCAUACUCCCCAAAAUGCACCGCAACCUACUCUCAAUCCACAAAACUCAACCAACGACCACCCAUAUAUCCAAGUUCCAGGAACUUAUCAAAGCAAUUUGAUAUAUGUAAAAACCUUACCCCAUACCCCGCAAUAAACCCUAUACAUACCCGAAUCGACUGAGAAGGACCUGCUCAUUAGAAACAUGGCGGAUAAGCUCAAGAAACUCACGGGGAGAGUCUAGAGUGUUGAAGGUGGGAAAGGCAUUGAAGGCCUGAAUUACGAAGAUCUGUGUAUUCAGCCAGAUGUGGAACUGCCAGGGAGUUACAAACCUCCAAAGUUCAAAAUAUUUGAUGGCACUGGUGAUCUGAAGGUGCAUCUAAGAACAUAUUGCGACAAGCUUGUAGGAGUAGGUAAGAAUGAACAAAUCCGCAUGAAGCUGUUCAUGUGAAGCCUUACAAGUGAUGCCUUGUCUUGGUAUAUCUUUCAAAAUCCAAAGAAGUGGGAAAAUUGGGUAAGUAUGGCAUCAGACUUCAUGGACAGAUUCAGGUUCAAUACAAAAAAUGCUCCAGACAUUUUCUAUAUUCAAAACCUUAAGAAGAAGCCGACAGAAACCUUCUGCGAGUAUGCUAUUCGUUGGAGAUAAGAGGCCGCAAAGGUAAGGCCAACACUUGAAGAAGAACAAAUGAACAAGUUCUUUGUUAGAGAUCAAUAUCCACAAUAUUAUGAAAGAUUGAUGGUCAUUGAGAAUCACAAAAUCUCAGAGAUCAUCAAGUUGGGAGAGAGAAUAAAAGAUGGAAUCAAGAGCGGGAUGGUGACUAAUUUUGAGGUGCUGCAAGCCACAAAUAAAGCCUUGAAAUCAUGAGGUAUUUCAAAGAAGAAAGAAGUGGGUGAUGUGAUGGUAGCCCAGGGCCCUAAGUCUCCCCUCACGUACCAAACACCUCCACCCACAUACUAAAAUACCAAUACCCUGCCACCACAUACCAUACCUACAACACUCAACCUACAUAUUACCAUUUACCUCCACUAGCCCGCCAAAACUACCCAAAGCCACAUCAAAGUUUCGAUCGCAGAACUCCUAGACAAUACACCCCAAUUGCUAAACCCAUAGCCCAACUAUAUGAUAGAUUGAAGGCCAUCGGUUAAAUCACUCCUAUUCGUGUUGUUGCCGCUGAGAAUCCUUCCCAGUGGAUCAAUCCCAACAAGACAUGUGCUUAUCAUUUAGGCAUGAAGGGUUAUACCAUUGAAGAGUGCCACAUGUUGAAAGAAAAGAUUCAGAUAUUGAUAGACACUAAGGUUAUACAAGCAAAGGAAGAUAUACCAAAUGUCCGAAAUAACCCUCUCUCAGAUCACAUGGGUGAGGGGUGAACGUAAUAGAAACUGAUGAGGAAUGGGAUCAAGAAGGGUCCAUCGGACUCAUUCGAGAAGGAGGUUUUAAUGUCCCGGUCGGUCGUUUUGAGAGUUGUAUACCCAUUCCCCUAUUUACUACUCAUUUUGUACUUUAUAACUUCUAUGUGACUAGCUGGGAUAGUUGGUUUGGGUCCGCAAAUAUUUCGGAAUGAUUUGAGACACUAAGUCUCAAGGUUGGAAGCUUAAGUUGAAAAGGUUGACCGGAUGUUGACUUAUGUAUAAAUGACUCCAGAAUGGAGUUUUGAUGGUUCUAUUAACUCUGUUGGGUGAUUUUGGACUUAUAAGGGUGUCCAGAUUGUGAUUUGGAGGUCUAUAGUUGAAUUAGGCUUGAAAUGGCAAAAACUGGAAAUUCAAAAGUUUUACCGAGAGUGGACCUUGGGGUUACAAGGCUCGGAUUGGGGUUUCGGGAGUUGGAGUAGGUCCUUGGUGUCAUUUGUGACUUGUGUGCAAAGCUUGAGGUCAAACAGACACAAUUUGUUAGGUUUCAGUGUCAUUUGUAGAAGUUGGGAUCUCUUAGUUUCAAAAGUCUUGAAUUGAGGCGCGAUUUGUAUUUUUGGUUUUGUUUGAUGUGAUUUGAGGGAUCGAUUAAGUUCGUAUUGUGUUUUAGGACUUGUUGGUGUGUUUGGUUGAGGUUUUGGGGGCCUCGGGUGGAGUUCGGAUGGUUAACGGAUCAAGAUUUGGAAUUUGAAAGAUUGUUGAAGUGCACCAGGUCUGGUGCGAUCUUACUUGCGGAGUUUUGACCGCAGGUGUGAGCUCGCAGAAGCGAGAAAGGAAUCGCAGAAGCGGCCAGGAAAUAAAUGGGCAGAGGUCACUGGUGCAAGGUACUUUUCCGCACCUGUGAUGCCUCAGAUGCAGCUGGAUUUGCGCAAGUGCAAAGUUGGGCUGGCCUGGGGAAGGACGCAAGUGCGGGGGGAGGGGGGGGAGGUAACCGUAUCUGCGAGCCCGCAGGUGCAAGCAAGUCUCCGCAGAUGCGGAGUUGUAGGGCAAGGUCUGUUUCGACAGAAGCGGAUAGUGGGCCACAGAAGCGCCACCGCAGGUGCGGAACCUAGAGCGCAGGUGCGGAACCUAGAGCGCAGAUGCGGCCCUGGGAAUUUAAGUGAUUUCCGCAGAAGUGGAUGAUUUUACCGCAAAAGAGGUUCCGCAGGUGCGGGUUUUUGGCCGCAUGUGCGAAAAGCCUGGGGCAGUGUUUUAAAAAUGAGGGGUUCCGAGAUUUUCUUCAUUUUUGAACAUUCCAAGCUCAAGAUUAGGCUUUUGAGAGGGAUUCUUGCGGUAAAUCACUUGUGAUUUAUUUUGCCCAAUAAUUAUGUUUCUCCAUUGGCUUUCUCAUCUAGAUUGUGUGGUUUUAAGGUGUAAUUUGGUUGUUUGGAGUUAGGGAUUUUGAGAGUUUAAAUUGGGGAUUUGGGUGUAGAUUUGGUGUUAGAUUUUGGUAAAUUUGGUAUGGUUGGACUCGUGGUUGAAUGUGCUUUCGGGUUUUGUGACUUUUAUCGAAUUUUGAGACAUGGGCCCGGGGGCCGGCUUUAGAGUGACUUUUUGACUUUUGAUUAAGAACUUGGUAUUUUCUUAUGGAAUCGAUCCCUUUAGCUCGUGUUGAUUGUAUCGAAUUCGUGGUAAUCUGUUACGAAAAUCCAUGGUAAUUCUUGAUUAAAGAGUAUAUCAGGUUCCUAAAGGAAUAUGAGGACAUCUUCGCAUGGUCCUACGAUGAUAUGACUGGGUUAAGCACAUCCAUAGUAGCUCACAAGCUACCCACCAAUCCCAUGUCUCCACCGGUAAAGUAGAAGCUCAGAAAGUUCAAGCCAGAUAUGAGUUUGAAGAUAAAAGAGGAGGUCACGGAACAAAUCGUAGACAAGGUUCUCUGAGUGGUUGAAUACCCGACCUGGUUAGCCAACAUUGUGCCGAUUCCAAAGAAAGAUGGGAAAGUUAGAAUAUGUGUCGAUUUUCGAGAUCUGAACAGAGCAAGUCCUACGGAUGAUUUCCCGCUGCCUAACAUACACAUACUAAUCGACAAUUGAGCCAAGCAUGAACUCCAAUCCUUUGUGGAUGGCUUCGCAGGAUAUUAUCAGAUCUGGAUGGACGAAGAGGAUGCUGAAAAGACCACCUUUAUCACACCAUGGGGGUAUAUUAUUAUAAAAUGAUGCCAUUUGGUUUGAAGAAUGCUGGGCCACCUACAUGAGAGCCAUGACGAGUAUCUUCCACGACAUGAUACACAAGGAAAUAGAGGUAUAUGUGGAUGAUUUUAUCAUCAAAACUAGAAAGAGUUCGAAUCACAUAGCAGACCUAAAGAAAUUUUUUGAUCGGCUUGGAAAAUACAACUUGAAGUUGAACCCUGCAAAAUGUGCCUUCGGUGUCCCUGCUGGAAAAUUGUUAGGUUUCAUCGUCAACCGCCGAGGUAUUGAGUUAGACCCAUCAAAAGUCAAAGUUAUCCAGGACUUGCCACCGUCAAAGAAUAAGAAAGAUGUGAUGACCUUUCUAGGAUGCCUCAAUUAUAUCAGCCAUUUUAUAGCACAAUCAACGGUGAUAUGUGAGCCAAUCUUCAAAAUGCUGAGGAAAGAUGUUGCAACAAGGUGGGCUGAAGAAUGCCAGAAAGCCUGCGACAAAAUCAAGGAGUAUUUAUCUAAAUCCCCCGUGUUGGUCCCGCCAGAACCAGGAAGACCUUUGUUGCUUUAUCUGUCUGUGUUGGAUGGGGCCUUUGGCUGCGUUCUAGGAUAACAUGAUGAAAUUGGAAGGAAGGAGCAUGCGAUAUAUUAUCUAAGCAAGAAGUUCAUGCCUUAUGAAUCUCGGUACUCUUUGUUGGAACGCACCAAAGAGCCUAGAAGUUGAGACAUUAUUUCUAUGCAUACACUACAUAUCUCAUAUCAAGGAUGGAUGCUAAAAUACAUCUUUCAGAAACCCACGCCUACGGGUAAGUUAGCAAAGUGGCAGAUAUUGCUGAGUGAGUUCGACAUCAUCUAUGUAACUCAGAAGGCUGUCAAAGGGAAAGCAUUGGCUGAUCACUUGGCACAAAAUCCCGUAGACGGAGAAUACAAAUCACUGAAGACGUAUUUUCCCGACGAAGAGGUAUCAUUUGUAGGAGAAGACAUUAUCGAAGCAUACGACGGUUGGAGGAUGUUCUUCGACGGAGCAGCAAACUUCAAGGGAGUGGACAUCAGAGUUGUCUUAGUAUCAGAAACCGAUCAAUAUUACCCGGUAUCCGCAAAACUCAGGUUCCCGUGCACCAAUAAUAUGGCAGAAUACAAAGCCUACAUCUUGGGACUCAUAUUGGCCAUCGACAUGAGCAUUAAGGAGUUGCUCGUAAUCCAAGAUUUUGAUUUAUUGGUUCACCAGGUUCUAGGAGAAUGGGCUACCAAGAAUACCAAAAUAUUACCAUACUUGCAUUGUGUGUAAGAGUUGAUCAAGAGGUUCACAAAGAUAGAAUUCAAACAUGUUCCAAGGACUCAGAAUGAGUUUGCAUAUGCAUUAGCCACCUUGUCUUCCAUGAUACAACAUCCAGACAAGAAUUUCAUCGAUCAUAUCCUAAUAGGAAUUCAUAAGCAGCCAGCUUAUUGUGCUCAUGUCGAAGAGGAGUUUGACAGCAAUCUGUGGUUCCACGACAUCAAGGAAUACUUGGAAAAGGGAGAAUAUCCAGGGAAUGCUAUACAUACUUAGAAGCGCACGUUCCGAAGAUUGGCCAAUCAUUUCUUUCAAAGAGGAGGAAUCCGUGUGUGAUUACCAUGAAUUCUCGAUACAAUCAACACGAGCUAAAGGGAUCGAUUCCAUAAGAAAAUACCAAGUUCUUAAUCAAAAGUCAAAAAGUCACUCUAAAGCCGGCUAUAUGCCAUAAUACUGUUGAGCAGGGCAGCGGAGAACCAGUGCACAUGCACACACGGAUUUCCGUAUCAAGAAGCCUUAUGGGCUAGCUUUAAAUCUCACAUCAUGUUAAUUAAAAAGGAUGGAAUUGUACUAAUUUAACUAGUGACUUCAACAAUUAAGCUUCUCUUACCUUGUCAUGUUUAUUUGCGAUACUUAUUGAGUUGGUUGUACUCACACUACACCCUGCACCUCGUGUGUAGAUUCAGGCAUUUCUGGGCACGGUGGUUCUCUGCUUGGGGCGUGGAUGUCAUCGGACCAAUCGAACCCGCUACUUCAAACAGACAUAAGUUCAUUUUGGUGGCUAUAGACUACUUCACAAAAUGGGUUGAAGCCGCAUCCUAUAAGGCUGUAACUAAGAAGGUCGUAGCAGAUUUUAUUCGGGACUGCAUUGUUUGUCAAUUUGGAGUACCUGAGUCAAUCAUUACUAAUAAUGCCGCCAAUAUUAACAGUGACCUGAUGAAAGCUAUGUGUGAAACAUUCAAGAUCAAGUAUCGGAACUCUACAACAUACAAGCCGCAAAUGAAUGGAGUCGUAGAGGCCGCCAAAAAGAACAUCAAGAAGAUAUUAACGAAAAUGGUGGAUAACUAUAAGCAAUGGCACAAAAAGCUACCGUUUGCUUUGCUCGGAUAUCGAACCAUUGUUCGCACGUCUACUGGGCAACCCCCUACCUACUGGUCUAUGGUACCGAGGUCGUUAUCCCUACCGGAGUAGAAAUUCCUUCCUUAAGGAUCAUACAAGAGGCUGAGCUCAGCGGCGCGGAAUGGGUACGAAACUGGUAUGAAAAACUAGCUCUCAUUAAUGGUAAAAGAAUGAACGCAGUGUGUCACGGUCAACUCUACCAGAACAGAAUGUCAAGAGCUUUCAAUAAAAAAGGUUAAGUCAAGGCAAUUCACACCGGGGCAAUUGGUGCUGAAAUGAAUCUUCCCACAUCAAGAUUAAGAAAAAAAGAAGUUUUCACUCAACUGGGAAGUCCCUUAUAUGGUUUACCGAGUACUAACAGGAGGAGCCCUUAUACUUGCAGAAAUGGAUGGAGAGAUUUGGUCGAAACCUAUCAAUUCAGAUGCAGUCAAGAGAUACUAUGUUUAAGGCUAUGUUUGCACUUUCUAUUUGAUGUAAUCUAAAGAUGGAGAGAUUUGGUCGAAACCUAUCAAUUCGGAUGCAGUCAAGAGAUACUAUGUUUAAGGCUAUGUUUGCACUUUCUAUUUGAUAUAAUCUAAACUACGCUUGACCUGAUUCCUGUUUAAGAGGGGAUACGUAGGCAGCCCUGUGGGUUCGGUCACAUCAUAAUAAAAUCUUCAUUUCCCCUAUGGUCAGAAACUGGGGCAAGAUCUCGAGUUUUCCCGAUCUCAUCAUAUUUAGAAUCGUCAAUGAAUGUGUCUCCAGAAGUAUGCAUUCAAACUAGGGCAGAAUUUUGAGGAGGAUCCUCAAAAUUCCGAGUUAAGGAGGUUGCAAUGUCUCAAAAAGCGUGUCACAGUCAUCAAUUCGACAAAUUAUUCGCUCUCAUGCAUUAUCACAUAUUUGAAACAACUACAUUUUAUAUAAAUAAUUUAUCACAAAUACAUGUUUUUCGAAAGUUUCAUUUUUUAUAGUAGCCAGACAUUACCCGAGGUGACUCAAAUAGGACCUCAACACAAAGAAAGGAAUCGAGAGCACGAACCAACCUUCCCCCCUCCAAACUCACUUUCCUUUAGAUGCAGGCACAAUGGAUAUAAUAAGAACGUCCACAAAUACACACACAAUAAGGUCACUAUCUUCACACCGACAAAAGUCGCCAAACGCAAAUGCGUCAAGCUAAGAAAUACUUUGUCCUCUCGCAUUUAGUCAUUGCUUUUCUUGCAUAUGGCUAAGCACUGCCCUCAUCCUCGCAUAAAGCUAAACACUGACUUUCUUUGCAUGAGACUAAGCUUUGUAUUUACUCCUUGCAUAGGGCUAAACACUACCCUCACUUUGCAUGAAGCUAAGCACUGCCUCCAUUAUUGCAUAAGGCUAAGCACCCUCUUUCUUUGCAUGAGACCAAGCAUUGUCUCUAUUCCUCGCAUGUGGCUAAGCAUUGCCUCCAUUAUUGCAUAAGGCUAAGCACUUUCUUUCUUUGCAUGAGACUAAGCAUUGUCUCCAUUCCUCGCAUGUGGCUAAGCACUACCUCCAUUAUUGCAUAAGGCUAAGCACUGCUUUUCUUUACAUGAGACUAAGCAUUAUCUUUACUCCUUGCAUAGGGAUAAACACUUCCCUCACCUUGCAUGAAGUUAAGAACUGCCUCCAUUAUUGUAUGAGGCUAAGCACUGCCUUUUCUUACAUGAGACUAAGCACCAUCUCCAUUAUUGCAUGAGACUAAACAUUGUCCUCCAUACUGCAUAAGACUAAGAACUGCCUUUCCUUGCAUGAGACUAAGCACUGUCUCUAUUCCUUGCAUGAGGCUAAGCGCUGCCUCCAUUGUUGCAUAAGGCUAAGCACCGCCUUUCUUGCAUGAGACUAGCACCGUCUCCAUUCUCUGCAUGAGGCUAAGCACUGCUUUCAUACUACGUAAGGCUAAGCACUACCUUUUCUUGCAUGAGACUAAGCAUUGUCUCCACUAUUUGCAUCGGGCUAAGCAUUGCCUUCGUCACAUACAAGACUAAGCCUUAUCUCGUCUCGUUCUCGCAUAUGACUAAGCAUUACCUGUGUCCUCUAUCAAACGGUCGAUAUCACCACAUAUUUACAUUUCAUGGGAUGAAAUAUGGCCAUAUUGUCUGAAGGUACCAUAAUCCGAGGGAAUCAUCCUCAAAGCCCGAAGACAUCAUGCCAUGACCAAAGGAUCUCUCGAAAAUACAUAUCAUUAUUCAAAGGCAUCAUAGUCCAGAGGCACCAUCCUCUUGGCCCAAGGACACCAUUUCACAGUCUGCGAAUCCCUUAUCAUAUGCUUCAUAGCCCAGGACAUCAUAGCCUAAGGAUAUCAUCCUCAUCGUCCAAAGACAACUCUCAUAGUCUGAAGGGAAUUUGCAUCAUGUUUAAAUUUUUGCAAUAACCCAUAUAUAUUCGCAUACAUCGUGUUCUAAGUUUUGCAGGUAACUUGGAGGUAAUCAUUCUACAAACAGAAGCAAUUCUCACCCCAGUUUUCGUUCACAACGUUCACAUCCUUUGAUCACCUCAAACGUAACUGAUAAUCAGUAAUUGAUUACCCUUUGUUCUAUAACCGUUCAAAUAUCUACCUUGUACAUCCGUAACAUUCAAUUUGCAUUCAUAGCCCCACCAGAAAUUAUCUGUUAUUCACGACACUAUCCUACUCAAAAGAUCCUUUUUCGAAACACAUGACCACUCUUAUAACAACUUCAUCGGUUUUGUUCGCCGUUGGAUCCAGAACUACACACAACCUGAUUCUCGUAACACCAGGGAUAUGUAGGCAACUCAAGAACCAAGGUUCAGCCCCCAUUUUUUUAUUUUGUUUUCAAAACACAUUAUUCCUCACUCACUUCGGACAAAAUUGGUCAUCAUUUUCUUUACCCGACAACUCUUUCAUCAUUCCCGGAUAAAGAUGGGCAGUUGUUGAUACCCAAUUUUACCCUCAUAUUUUUAUAAAUGUCAUAUAUGCUUUUAAAAUAUCAUUCCUGCAUCAUCACCAUCUUACAAGAAUCAUACAAGUAUUUUCUAUAAUUUUGCAUAAUUUUAAAGCUUUAAAAUUGAUUUCUUGCAUUUAAAUUAUUUGAAUAUGUAUUAAUUACCCUUUAAAAUAUUGUUGUGAUGACUUAUUUGCACCUACGUAUAUGUUUCAUGAUAUUUUACUUUAUUUUAUACAAUUAUAUUUGUAUUUCUAAAGCUAUUUACAUAAUUUUGCAAUAACGGCCUAUAUUCUAUACAUAAUUGUACUUAUUAUAUUAUUUAUGCUAAAAUAAUAUUUAUUAUAUUUUUAUAAUGUUAAUCUAUUAUUUUUAAGUAUUUUACUGCAUAAAUAAUAUUUUUUUAAUUUACUAGUUAUUUUUAUAAUUUAUUUUUAAUGUAUUUCGUAUAUUUAAUUUAUAGCCCCAACAUAGGGCUAAUUUCGGACCAAAUUUGGCCCAAGUUAUUAGCCCAAUACCCCACAGCCCACGCCAAGCAUCUCUUUUAAUGAACCCGGUCGUGACCCAUUUGAACGACCCAUCCCAUUCCAUUUUUGAUCUUGGCCGUUGAUCUCGAAUGAUCAGCGGCCCAUAAUAAAUCCCUACCGUUUCUUAUAUCCCCUCAACCCAAACCCUAAUCCCAUUCUGACACUUCAGUCGCCCCUUAAUCCUCUCUACUUUCUUCUUCUCUAAGGAAACCCUAGCCGUCAUAUCCCUUAAUCCCCUCCGAUUUCGACCUUAAUAUGAAACCCAUCUAUGAUUUCCUUACCAUAUAUGUUCGGUCACUUUGUUGCUUACACGAUUUUGGUAUCACCUAGUACUUGCCUAUUUUUGGCAAGUACCAGGCCCUGAGUUAUGUGCAAUCGUCUUUAAUCUUCAAGAUCUAGACGGUAUUUUGUCUAUAUACGUUCAUGGCAAGGUGAUAUGAGGCCGAUUCACCAAGAUCAUUGGUCGAUUCUUUGAUUUCCGUCGAACUAGGGUUUGAAAUUUCUUUUUUUCUUCUUUAUUGGUUCUAUUAUCGAUUACAUGUGAUAUUUUCUUUUCUUAGUUGUGUUCGAGUAGUUGUUUUUCAUGUUUGCUUGUUCGAUUUCUACCACUAUAUAACCCCUCCCUAUUUUCCCUUUGGAGGGGGAGGGGGGGUUGCUAAAACUACUACUGUUCUCUUAUUCUUUCUUGUCUUAUACUACUCUGAGGCUCAAUCUUUUGGCCAGUUGAAAGCCAAGGCCACCAGAAUUCGAUUAUCGAACCUUUCUCAGUGUGAGCACUGCCCGAGGUUCAUCUAAAACCCUUAGGAACUCUGACACACCGAGAUUCCUAGGUUCUACUAUUCGUUUUGCUAUUGAUAUUGGAGAGUUGCUGAAAUUAUUCCUCUUGUUUACUUGUUCAUUCAUCUGUAACUAGUAAGCAUAUAUGACUCUUGCAAUUUUAUUUUUUUCCGUUUGAAUUCCUGCUCUGCAUAUCUAUGUCUCUAAGAAUUUUUAUGAACCAACAUGCCAUUAUAUGCUUUGAAGCUCUUCUUGAGGCUUUAUACCUUCUAGUAGUCUAACUUGUCUAUUUGUUGCCUUGAUUCUGCCUUCUUAAGCCUGCUUGCUAAUGUAUGUGCUCGAAUUCUUAUUAUUGUUGCUUAUUCUGAGUUUUGUUUCUUGCCUUGUUUUGUACUCUUGUGAUGAGUCGAGUCAUGCCCAAAACCUGUUCUAAUUCUUGAGUCAUUCAUGCUCAACUUGAUACUUUUCUAGAAUUAACUCUUGAUCAUGUUAUUAGCCCAGGCAUGCUUUCCCUGCUACUUGUGAACUAAUGCUCGUUCCCUCCCUUGUCCUGUACCUUUGUGAUGAAUCCAUGUAUGUGUUUCAGACCUUGUUAGGUCAUUCCUGUCCAACCUGCUAAGUUCUUGAUGGUGUACUGAUUAGCUAGGGCCUGCUUUCCAUGUCAUUUAAGUUCUAAUGUAUGCUUUGACUUAUGCAAUCAUGUUUGAGACCUUAGGGAAAAAAUCAUGUCUAGCCUCUUCCCCCCAUAUGUGAUUAAGCCUAGUGCAGGCCAGUCCUUUUAACCUAUAUUUGACAUAUCCUUGCCCAUUAUGAGUCCUGGUGCUAUUCAAACCUUCGUGUAUGAUUGAUAAUGUUAAAGUCUUCAUGCCAGUUGAGUGGAUUGUUAUGGACUAUGUUCAUUAGCCUAUUUUUUAUUGAUCAUAUUUGCACCAAACCCUUAUGCUAGGUAUCUUACUUGUUUCUGUUUGUGAUUCUGCAAGAUUUCUCUGACAAGAUUGUGUUUAAGUUAAUCUUAGAUCAUAUUAUAUCCUGAAACCCUAUUUGGAUUGUCUGUUGGUUUGUGAUGUUCCAUCCUAUCUUCUGAACUUCUAGCAUCUUAUGUAUAUAACUCUGUGUGAUCUCAUCUACCUGCUCUGGUUUAAACUACUGUUAGUUUCAAUCUUAAGAAUUAAGUGUGUGGAUUUCGAGUGGUUUGAUUAAUUAAUGAACAACUUGUUACUUAUGUGGUUAAGUCUAGCAUUACCGGAUAAGUUAGUUUCUCCCUUCAGACUUGGUAUGGGUAUGUGUUCGAGUCAUACUGCUGAUACACUCUAAUGUCCUGGGGUAUACCUAUACAUGCAUUUACUAUUUUGUAUGAAGAAUGAGAUCACUGAAGACCUUGAAGUUGUUGGGUUAUUCCUCUUUGGGCAUGCUCUGCAUAUUGCGUUUGUACUCAUUUAGCCUGUAAUAUUCGAGCAUGUAUUCUUCAUGUGGGGCCUGUAAUGAUUUGUAAACAAAUAAUUGGGGCGUUAGUGAAAUUGGGGAAUGGGUGUGCUUUAUUCUUGCGUAAAGAGUAGAGAACAUGCCUAUAAGGCCCAUUUGUUUUAUUUGCUAUUCUGUUUGACUUGCUCUACUUCUGUGCGAUAAUAGAAAUCAUGUUUAUAGGAUCCGCACAUAUCUCACCUAAUUUGACUAAUACUCACUAUCUCAAACAUGUUAACAGUCACUAUACUUGAUUUCUAUGUUAUUACUGUGCGUUUAGACAGCAUGCCUAUAGGAUGUAUAACAUAUGCUUUGUCAACCUAGAAACCAUGCCUAUAGGAUUUUAAAUAAUCCAUUGGUCAAUUGCUUCCAUUACUUUUAGUGUACUGCUCAUCUAGAUAUUAUGACUAUAAGACCCUAAUCUUUUAAUAUACUUUUGCUAUUUUCAUUACACUGCACCGCCUAGAUGACAUGCCUAUAGGAGUAAAGUGUUAUAAAAUGAAGAAUAGUUGUCAAUUGUUAGAAAUCAUGCCUAUAGGACAGUGUCACCCACCUAAGACGCCUAUUUAUAAAAUCAGUGCUAAUAAUCCUGAGUCUGCAAACAGUUUACUACCUCCUCGCCUAAGACAUUUAGAACAAUAACGAUGCAUACACGAUACUGAAAUUCAGAAUCACCUAGAAACCAUGCCUAUAGGACUCUAAGUCUCGAUUCUGAAACUAUGUACUGCCUAAGCUGCCCGCGUGCAUUUGUUAUUUAUGUGUGGAGGCUAACUUGGGCCUUUAAUUAUUUUUAUGUGAAGUCUUAUCUGUUUUGAAUGUCACUUAGUUUUACCAUUUUGAGCAACCUAGGUGAAGUCUAGAACCAUCCAAAUAGUAGGUCCAAAGCCUUCUGGACCAUAGGUAUAGGACGGGUAGUGCACGCAUAGGAUAUGAUUUAGAAUUGAGUUAGAGCGCCUUUAAGUAGGGGUGUUCAACACCGAACCGAAACCGAAAACCGAACCGANNNNNNNNNNNNNNNNNNNNNNNNNAUUUUGAUGUCAUGUAUUAUACUCAGUGUUCUCUUCUUUUUCUUCUGAUAGUUAUAAGUUGUUAAUAGGCUCAUCCCCAGAGAUGAUUCUACUAAAAAAUACGUUGGAAUGUAGCUCUCUAUUUCUUCUAUUUAGCUCUCUUCUUAGGUGCCAUAUUCUAUAGACUGGAAUGUAGUCUGCUGAGCAUAGGAAUUUUAUUUUGAGUCACAGCGGUCAGCAAACAAUUAAUGUAUGUAAUAUAGAUUGAAUUAGGCCGAUAAACCGCUCGAUAACCGCCCGAUAAGAGCUAAACCGAUACCAAUCCGUCCGAUAUCUUAUCGGGUGGCUAGCAGAUUAAUACAUUUAAAAACUGAUAACCGAUAAGCCAAAUCAUUAAGAGUAAAUAACCGCCCAAUUCGCCAGAUAAGCAGUCCUACCUUUAAGUAACAACUUCAACAUAGUAAUUGGGUAGCAAGAGAUGAUAGUCUAUUCCCGCUGAAUAAUAUAAGCAACCCCUACCUUAAGGGAGUUGCGAAUUAUUAUUUAUGUUGCACGAGAUGAUCCUUUAGGCUAAAAAACUUAGGACCGCCCUUUUCUUUAUAUACUUGUUAUUUAUACUUAGUCAUUUAACAUAGACCAAUGUAGUUAUAUCCUUGUAAUCAUUAAGGAUUUGUACCGAUUCUUAUGUGUCAUGAUAAGACUCUUCGACUUCUAUAUUUCCCUUUGUUUAUUUGAUCACCUAGCCUAAUUACAUAAUCCACAUAGUUUAAAAUUCGGCUGGAACCCACAGUUGUGGACCUCGAAGAGUUCCUGACACCUUCUCUUUGAGGUAAUUUGAGCCCUUACCCGAUCUUUGGUGACACGAACUAGACAAAUAGAGUUAUUUACAAAUAGGUGCCCAAACGCGCCUUAAAAAUCGUUAGGUGGCGACUCUUCUCUUUUAAUACUUUCCUUUAAAAGAGCUAUCACAGGUCGAAGCCCGCUUUCGCGAGAAAACGGGAUGCGACAAGUAUCUUACCUAACUUUGUGGGGGUGGGGGGGGGGGGACUACCCCUUAGGAUUUGAGUCGUUUAUGCUAUUUGUGUAAUGUGAAAGCCGUGUACGCGAGGUGACAAGUACGUACUCGGGCUUAUAUGUGGAAAUUCUAUUGGUUUAAACUCUUAGGCAUAUUUUAUGUAUUUAAUUAGAAAUUGUUGGCACUUGUUAUGUCAUUUAUUCGCCAUGUCCACUAUUACAUGCUUUAUUGGAAGUUGUCGUUACAUGUCACAUUCUUUACUCGUCGAGCUUGUUCUUAUAUGCUUUAAUUGGAGUUAUUACCACUUUUACCAUUACGUGAUUUCUUUUACCGAUGAGUUGCCAUUUCAUGGAGGUACUUUUACUAUUGAGUUUAUUCUUAAAUAAAUAAUUGGAAUUGAAGUUAUCGAAAGACAUUAAUCUAUUUUACUCGAAGUUGUGUUUAAAGGAGGUGUUGUUCAUUGCUGAGUUACUUUUUCGUUUAUGUUGUUGUUAUUGAGAUUUUAUAUACGUUGUGUUGAGCCGUGGACUAUUUGUUGUGAAAUUAAUGAUAUUGUGGAAUCUUUGGAAAGGUUGUGGCCUACGGGCACUUGUGAUACGAGUUGAUUAUAUUGUGUUGUUGUGAUGAUAGUACAUGUGAAUUGUUGUGUGAUUGGCUUGUUGUUAUGCGGAGUAUAAGGGUGGCAUUUCAUUGUUGUUAUCAUACGGGGCAUAAGGGUGGCAUAUCACUGUUGCUGAAUGUACAGAGCGAUACAGGUAGCUAUUGUGUUAUUAUCCGGACGAAGUGAUAAGGGUGGCUAUUGCACAGAGUGAUAAGGGUGGCUAUUAUACGGAGUGAUACGUGCGGCUAUAGGAGAGAGGGUGGCUAAUGAUAUUGUCAGAGCAGAGUGAUAUGGGUGGCAAUUAUACAGAGAGAUACGGGUGGCUAUCGGAGUGAUAAGGGUGGCAUAUGUCAGGGAUGAUGUGUGAUGGUUGGGAGACAUUGUGUUGGUGAAUUUCGUGUGAUGGUGUGAAUUUCAUUGUGUUUGUUAUACCCUUUGCGUGACUUGUCUUAUUGUUUCGAUGAGCUAUUCGAUGUCCUUGUUAUUACUUAUUGAUUUGGGCUACAGUAAUAUACUUGCACAACCAUACACUGUAGCAUUGCCACUUAUACUAGCUCAUGAGUACGAAACUUGAUAUUUAUUAACCAUGUCCAUGUAUUCUGGUAUUAUCUUUUUUUUUAUGUUGCUAUUGAGCCUGUGAUUAUGCAGGGCAGAUUGUGAUAGUAAGAUUGCGAUUAUGCCGGGCGGAUUGUGAUAAUAAGCCUGUGAUUAUGCUGAGCGGUUUGUGAUUGUGAGCUUGUGAUCAUGCCGGGUGGAUUAUGAUUGUGAGCCUGUGAUCAUGGCAGGCGGAUUGUGACUAUGAGCAUGUGACUAUUGCUGGACAGAUUAUAAUUUUGGCACGUGAUUUGUCCGUGCGGUUGUGAUUUUGAGAUGUGGGCACGAGUUGCCGUGAGUACAUGAUGGCGGAUUGAGACCCGAGACUUGUGACUAUGAUAUGAGGUAUCACUGAGUGAUUUCGUUGUGAAACUUGUGUUAGACAGCUUGAUUAAUUGAUUGUCCUUUGUGUUCCUUAUUUGGUUUUAAAUGAUGUUUUUCCGGUAUUCUUAUUGCUUUACUGCCUAUAUACAUAUGUUGAUUUUGUUGUCAUUUACUGAUUUUUGCUUUCCAUUAUUAGCUUUAUACUGAUAUAUUACAUAGAUUAUUUUGUCUAGUGAGUGUCUUGACUGUACCUCGUCACUACUCCACCAAGGUUAGUCUUGAUACUUACUGGGUACCGACCGUGGUGUACUCAUACUACACUUCUGCAUAUUUUUGUGCAGAGCCAGGUAUUGGAGAUAUCGGACCCGGCUGAGUUAGCUUGUUGAUGGCGAGGAUUCAAGGUAGAGUCGAUUGGUCGUCGCAGUCCCUUGGAGUUCUUUCCUUUUUUUACUGUCAGCUUGUAUUUGAACAAUAUUGUAUUUCGAUCCUUGAGAUCAUUCCAUGUAUUUAAUUAGAGUUCGUGACUCUGUAUCACAGUCUUGGAAAAUUAUUAUGAUUAUUGCCGCGUAGGCUUAUACCGCUUUUGUCUUGGCACUUAUAUUAAACUAUGUUUCAAGUUAUCAUUGUUAAGAACUGGCUUAACAUUGUUAGUAAUCGGCUUACCUAGUCGUAGAGACUAAGUGCCAUCACGACAUCCUGCGGAGAAAAAUUGGGGUCGUGACAAAUUAAGAAACCACAUGAUUGGUAAAGAUGAACCAGAUAGGAUAGGUUACAUCUCAUAAUCAGCAUAGUCAAAUAUUUUGCAUGAUUUUUUCGUUAUCAUCCAGGAUCACUAUAUCUACUUUAGCGACCCCAAGUAGAACUUUAUCACAAUAAGCCAAAAGCACGUAACCGCGAUAAAAUCACAUUCAACAAGCUAUAUUUUGGAUAGAGUAGAAUAAAUUUUUCAAAUAUUUUAGUAGGUGCGAUUUAAUAUCUUUGGAUUUACAAUUAAUGAUAAAAUAGGGUGCAACUAUCUUAUUUUACGAAGGAUGAGCAAGUAUCUAGUUAACCAACAAGCUUUUGUGAUGAAGACAUUACUACAUUAAGUUCUUAAGUUGCAGGACGAUACCUCUCCUGUACUAUAUUUUAAGUAUCAGUAUCUAAAUUGUCUAUAAAGAGGUUUAGAGUAUGGUAAAAGAUUUAGCAAUAACCUUAGAGAAUAUGCGUCUGUUGGAAGUGCUAAUUCAAACUGCAAAUAAUUUAAAGUGCUAACUUCAUUUGCAAGACCUGCAUAGAACGCCUAAUGCGACCACAACGUUUAGAGACUGCAACAUCAUAUGUAUCAAAAAGUCAAGCUUACUUGCUUCUGGGAGUGACUAUUGUAUACGGGUAAAACCGGGCUCAUGGUACACUCUGAUCUCCGAAAUAAUAAGCUAAGCUCGAGACAUGAUGACAGGGGACCGAAAUCGAGGCAAAAGUCUUAUCGAGUCAGAAUCCGGGGGAAUGACGCCCGCCCUCGAGAAUAUUGAGGUCAUGGUUCGGAGUCGGUCUUAGCCUUGAACGACUUCGAAGAACAUUUUCAGGCAAUCAAGCACGACCAACCGUAAUAUCCGUGAACGGCCGGAUAUCACGGCGGGGAUCUCGGAACGUAUCGGUGAAGAACCAGCAAUCAGUUAAUCAGAUGAUGUUUUACCUUUUAUAGAAUUGUACCUAGAGUAGGAUUGUCCUACUAUAUAAAGGGGGUCUGAUAAUUCAUUAAGGACACUGUAACACGUAUUCCAAAGUAAUAUACUAUUAUUUUCUCUGUUAUUAGCUUUUUCUCUUGUUCAUCAGUGCUGGCCAUAACGAGCCCGGAUCGAGGGUGAAUAUUUCAUUAAGGCUGGAACUAUCCUCCUUGUGUGCUUUGUAUCCAUUUUAUCUUUAUUUAUUCAAUUUGACUUAAUUUAUCGCUUUGUAUCAAAUUAAUCCACGUAUCCUUAAAAUCACUUAUAAAUUUAAUUGUUAUCCGAUUUUAAGGGUAAAUAGUUAGGCGCCCACCGUGGGGCUAAGGAUAAUAGCGGCAAUUUGAUACAAAUUCCCAUAACACACCUUAUUUUACACUUGUUCUUUGGAGUAUCUUUGAUUCCAGGUUAAAGUUUGAAUGUCGAACUCCCAGUCUGCCCCUCUAAACGUGGAUGCCAAAUACGGCCACCAUGUUGAGAACAACAAAGUAGCACCUGGUAACGAGGUGCCCCCUGACAAUCUCGGCAGAGUUCCAGCCGCGGACCCGAUCGACGCUAGCUCGCAUGUGGCCAUCAAUGCAAAUUUGCCUACCGAUCCUGAAAACAGCGUCUGCAGGAGAGUCGGAUCGGUUGCCCAAAAUACGCACAGUGGUGAAGGUGAUGGGAUCAAUUUACGGGUUAUCUUUGAAAUGUUACAGGCUCAACAGGCAGCGAUAACCCAGUUACAGAACCAAAGCCACGCGCCGAGCAGAAUUGAGCCCGAACUAUCCCAGGAAGUCACCCGCAGAAAUGAACCGGUCCCGGAAAGGCUGAAUGAAAAUGAAUCGGGGACUAACCCCAAGAUCAUAAAGAUGCUCGAGGAGAUGACAAAACAGGUAGAAUCAGGAGAGAAGAAAAUCGAAUCCAAUGACAAAAAAGUGGAAACCUACAAUUCCAGGGUCGACCAAAUCCCAGGAGCAUCGCCGAUAUUAAAAGGCCUGGAUUCCAAGAAGUUUGUUCAAAAACCUUUUCCUCUGAGCGUAGCUCCGAAGCCUAUCCCUAAGAAGUUACGAAUGCUCGAGAUUCCUAAGUACAAUGGAACAACCGAUCCAAAUGAGCAUGUGACCUCCUACACGUGCCCAUCAAAAGGAACGACUUGGAGGAUGAUGAGAUCGACUCUGUCCUGCUGAAAAAGUUUAGGGAAACACUGUCAAAGGGAGCUAUGAUUUGGUAUCACAACAUACCUCCUAAUUCUAUUGACUCUUUUGCUAUGCUUACAGAUUCGUUCGUAAAAGCACACGUCGGGGCUAUCAAGGUCGAGACCAGGAAGUCAGACCUUUUCAACGUAAAAUAGAGGGAUAAUGAAAUGCUCAGAGAAUUCGUAUCCGGGUUUCAAAUGGAAUGGAUUGACCUAACUUCGGUCGCGGAUGAUUGGGCCGUUCAAGCCUUCACCCAAGGACUCAAUGUUCGAAUCUCAUUGGCUUCACAGCAGCUGAAAUAAAAUCUGGUAGAAUAUCCGGUUGUUACUUGGGCCGACGUGCAUAACCGGUAUCAAUCAAAAAUAAGGGUCAAAGAUGAUCAGCUUGGGGCCCUUUCCGAGUCCGUUUAUCUCGUCAGAACUGUUGAUGGAGUCAAGAGAGACGUUGAUCAUGAACCGAGAUCAAACAGGGACCGGUAUCAGCCAUACAAUGGAGACCAAAGUAGUAGUGGGUCUGGGAGAAACCCUGUGAGAAGUGAAAUGAAGAGUGAUCGAGGUCAAAACAACCGGGGACUCAUGAGCAAAAACAAUUUCGACAGGCCCAUCAGGCCUAAGGAAGCGCCAAGGUUAUCGGAGUACAACUUUAACAUCGACGCCGCCGCCAUCGUAUCUGCCAUCGGACGCAUCAAAGAUACUAAAUGGACCCGACCUCUACAGUCUGAUCUAGCCCAAAGGGAUCCUUACCUAACGUGCAUAUAUCAUGGCACUCACGGCCACAGAACAGAGGAUUGCCGACAAUUAAGAGAUGAAGUAGCUUGGCUAUUCAACAACGGACAUCUCUGAGAGUUCCUAAGCAAUAUAGCCAAGAAUCAUUUCAGGAAUAGAGAUUCUAAUAAAUAGAUCGAGCAGGAGGAACCUCAGCACGUCAUUAACAUGAUCAUUGGUGGGGUCGACAUUCCCCAGGGACCGAUUCUAAAGCGUACCAAAGUAUCCAUCACAAGGGAAAAACGAACUCGGGAUUACAUGCCAUAGGGAACCUUGUCUUUCAACGAUGAGGACGCUGAAGGGAUCAUGUAGCCCCACAACGAUGCACUUGUAAUAUCUAUACUCAUAAAUAAAUCUCGAGUUAAGCGUGUGUUAAUUGAUCCAGGUAGCUCGGCUAACAUCAUCAAAUCGAGGGUCGUGGAACAGCUCGGUCUACAAGAUCAAAUCGUGCCUGCAGUCCGAGUUCUAAACAGAUUCAAUAUGGCAUGUGAGAUAACAUUAUCGGUGAACGUCGCCAGGACCAUUCAGAAAGCCAAGUUUUAUGUAAUAGAAUGAGAUAUGAGGUACAAUGCUCUAUUCGGGAGGCCAUGAAUCCACAACAUGAGGGUGGUACCCUCGACUCUGCACCAAGUGUUGAAGUUCCCAAUGCCAGGAGGGAUAAAAACAAUUUAUGGAGAACAACCGGCCACAAAGGAGAUGUUCGCGAUCGACGAGGUGGUCCCGAUAUUCGCACUUAUAAUGACAAAAGGUCUGGGUUCGGUCACCAAGGAAGAAGCCAAAUAGCAAUUACCUACGCCGGCUCUGACCCAACCGGAGAAGCAGGGGACCGAUGAAGAUGACGACUACGAGGUUCCUAGGUCUUUUAUAACCCCCGAUGACUCCGACGCCACCAAAUCAACUGCCGAAGAACUGGAAUAGGUCAUAUUGAUCCAGUAUUUUCCCGAUCGAAAGGUAUACCUAGGCACGGGGUUAAGUCCUGAGCUCAAGAAAAAACUCGUUAAAUUCUUUAUAGCUAAUGUGGAUUGUUUCGCUUGGUCCCACAUUGAUAUGACAGGGAUCCCCCCGGAAAUAACCACUCACAAGCUGAGCUUGGACCCGAAGUUCAUCCAGUUAAACAAAAAAGGAGACCUCAGUCCGAAGUCAAACAUGCAUUCAUCAAAGACGAGGUAUCUAAACUCCUUAAAAUAGGGUCCAUUUGGGAGGUUAAGUACCCGGAAUGGCUAGCAAACAUAGUGGUAGUCCAUAAAAAAGGGAAUAAAUUAAGAAUUUGUGUAGACUAUAAUAAAGAUUUGAAUAAGGCAUGUCCCAAGGACUCUUUCCCUUUGCCCAACAUCGAUCGCAUGAUCUAUACAAUGGUCGGCCACUAGAUCCUCAGUUUUCUCGAUGCCUAUUCCGGGUAUAACAAAAUUCGAAUGGACCCGGGCGAUCAGGAAAAACCGUCCUUCAUCACUAAGUACGGUACCUACUGCUAUAACGUAAUGCCAUUCGGACUAAAAAAAAUGUCGUUGCCACUUACCAACGCAUAGUAAAUCGGAUGUUCAAAGAACAUAUAGGAAAAUCAAUGGAGGUUUAUAUUUACUACAUGUUGGUUAAGCCCCUGCGAGCAGAGGACCAUUUGAAGCAUUUGCAGGAAACCUUCGACAUAUUGAAGAAAUACAAUAUGAAGCUGAACCCAAAAAAAUAUGCAUUCGGAUUCAGAUCCGGAAAAUUUCUCGGAUUCAUGGUGUUCAACCGGGUGAUCAAAAUCAUCUUGAUAAAAUCAAGACCAUAGAGGACAUUACCGUAGUGAAUAGUGUCAAGGGUGUACAAAGGUUAACCGGAUGCAUAGCCAUUUUGGGUCGAUUUAUCUCGAGGUCCUCCGACAAGAGCUAUCGGUUCUUCUCACUGUUGAAGAAGAAGAAUAACUUCUCAUGGACUCCGGAGUGCCAGCAAGCCUUGGAGGAACUCAAACGGUACCUCUCGAGCCUGUAAGGCCCCAUAAAGUUUUGCCUAAAAAUCCGGAGGUAUGGACUUUUUGGGUUGAACAGUGCGCUGGGGAGUAAAGGAAAAAUUCUUUUGGCAGAAGAAGACAUUUCUGCAGCCCACUAUGUAGCCGUAAAAUCACUCUGCGGGCCGCAGAGUGAAGCAGGAAACUGGGCAAGUUUAGAUGGCAUUGUGCGGUCAAUUAUGCGGUCGCAAAACUAUUUCGCGGGCCGCACAUCGACCGCGGAACCAGCAUGAAGAUUUUUUCGGAGGGAGGUUCUGCGGCGUAUUAUAUGACCACAGAACAGGUCUACGGACCGCAUAAUAGCCGUAGAGUGGGGCAAGAAUGCCCAGUUCCGAGGGCCAUUUCGCGGCCCAUUUCGUGGACCGAACAAGCAUUAUGAGGUCGCAUAUUCGACCGCAGAUCUGUGACGGGCUCCUUUUUUCUAAUUUUUUUACCCGGCCCUAUUUCGAUAUAUUAGAGUAAUGGACCACUUCUGAAGCAAAAAACAUACAUUCUAGAGAGAGGGAAUACCAAGGAGUGGGGGGGNNNNNNNNNNNNNNNNNNNNNNNNNNNNNNNNNNNNNNNNNNNNNNNNNNNNNNNNNNNNNNNNNNNNNNNNNNNNNNNNNNNNNNNNNNNNNNNNNNNNNNNNNNNNNNNNNNNNNNNNNNNNNNNNNNNNNNNNNNNNNNNNNNNNNNNNNNNNNNNNNNNNNNNNNNNNNNNNNNNNNNNNNNNNNNNNNNNNNNNNNNNNNNNNNNNNNNNNNNNNNNNNNNNNNNNNNNNNNNNNNNNNNNNNNNNNNNNNNNNNNNNNNNNNNNNNNNNNNNNNNNNNNNNNNNNNNNNNNNNNNNNNNNNNNNNNNNNNNNNNNNNNNNNNNNNNNNNNNNNNNNNNNNNNNNNNNNNNNNNNNNNNNNNNNNNNNNNNNNNNNNNNNNNNNNNNNNNNNNNNNNNNNNNNNNNNNNNNNNNNNNNNNNNNNNNNNNNNNNNNNNNNNNNNNNNNNNNNNNNNNNNNNNNNNNNNNNNNNNNNNNNNNNNNNNNNNNNNNNNNNNNNNNNNNNNNNNNNNNNNNNNNNNNNNNNAUAGCCAUUAAUUUCGUGAUUCUAAUUGAUAAUAGGUAAUUAGUAAGGCAAUUCUUGGGUAUGGCAGUUCUUUAUUUUUACAUGCAUAUACUAUCAAGGGUUGGGGGGAAGAAUGUUGAGCUAAAUUAGGUAGAGUUUGGGUAGUGGAGGUGAAAGAAUCCACCAUGGGAGGACCUUGAAAUCAUAAUAACCACCUAGUAUUUGAUAAAAUGCUCAAAUAAGCUGGAACCAUAAACUCUCUCCUAAUUUGUGUUUAAUUUUUCUAUAUUUCCAAAUAGAUUGAAGAAACUAAGAAUUCCGGAACAUUGUAGUUAUUUAAAAAGGCUCGAGGCAAGGUAUGUUGGCUAAAUGCUUUUCUUAAAAUUAAACCCCGCAAUGUCCUUGUAAGUCUCGUGAUGCCCUUUAUAAAUUGAAUUUUUGUCAAAUAAGCCUUAUGUCGAAAUAAUUAUGUGUUCAAUAUGUAUUCCAAAGAUUCUUGUUAUGUUUGAGGAUGUGGUUAAAUAUGGAUUGUGUGUUACUAUGUUAUGAUUUGAAAGCGUAAAUUCUUAUGAAAGCUACCAUGUCAAUUGUGUAAGAAGUCAUAUGUUCCUAAGACCUUAAUUUGCUCGAGUAUGUGAUUAAAGUCUUAAUUUGAAAGGCCUUUUUGUUGAUUAUUCAUGAUAAUGAAUGAAAAUGGAAUAGUGAGCUGAAUUAUGAAGUACGGCCAAUGUGACAAGAAUGAUAUUGCGUUAUGGCCAAUGAUGUCAAUAAAAUGAAUGACAUGUAAAAGAAUAUGAAUUGAGAGGUAAAUACUUUUAGUAACAAAUGCUUUGGGAGUAUCGAUUAGCCACCGAUGAAGGGUAGGUCGGAACAACCUAACCCCGAAACUACACGUACCGGUGUAGGAGUGAUUGAGGGGUAGAUCCUCGUGUUAAUGUGAUGGGACUCUUUCCCCUUAUAUGGGAUGAGAUCGGUGUGUUAAGAUGUUUUCCCCCUAAAUGGGAAGAGAUUAUUUCUAGCUAGUUAUGAUGUAAUGUCGACCCACACGGCAUUGUGGUGAGACGGCUUAGCCGAUCGGGCUGAGAUCGGACGCCAUACCGCGCACAUGGUGAUAUUGUGAGUGUAUGUCUUGGGGUGAGAUGACUUAGCCGAUCGGACUGAGAUCGGACUCCGUGCUAAAAUACAAUGGUAUAUCGGUGCUAAAGAUCUCCCAACUUAAAUUACCGAAACCUACUUGAAAUUUACGUUUCCCCUAAUGUGGCACUUUUAUACCGUUUGAGUCUCUUAUAGAUAUCAUGUUUUAUUCUCCGUUUACUAUUGCUCGUUCUAUUGAAAGGGUGUUUAGUUUGACAUACUAGUACUAUUUCAUAUAUACUAACAUCUUUUUUGCCGAGGGAGCUGCAUCUUUAAUGGAUGUAGGGGUUCCAUAGCAGAUGGUAUUGAUCAGUGAUAGCAGCACACCCUCUCCCCAACUGAUUUGGUGAGCCUCACUUCAUUUCGGGGUCCUGCAUCUUCUAUCCUUUGUACAUAACAUUUUGAGGUAUAGUCGGGGCCUUGUUGCCGGCACUUUCAUAGCACUCUUCUGUUCCUGUUAGAGGCCCCGUAGACAUAAUGUGGGUUGUAUUUGUUUUGGGAAAGUUAACUAAAAAUGUUGUAAUGGUAUCAUCUGUUCCACUUUAAUUAUGAUUGUACAACGUACUGUUUUGAAGACUUGUUAAUGACGUAACUAAUGAAAAUGAACCGGUGUUGUUCACAUGACUUCUUAUUGACUUAUUAAUGAAAUGAAUUCUUCUCUUUAUUUAAGGGUGAGUUGGGUAGACGGUACUGCGCAAGCUUGCUCGACCGAGGUAACUUUGUUGAGCGCCGGUCGCACUCUCCGAGGUCGGGACGUGACAGAGCCCACCUUUGCUUCACACUUCGAAGGCAGACGAACAGGUGUACCUAUACUUAGCAGUAUCCGAGGUGGCGGUAAGUGGAGUCCUGGUCCAGGAAGAAGAAGGUACGCAAUUUCCUAUCUAUUAUAUUAGCAGAACUCUAGGCGAGGCCGAAACUAGGUAUCCUCACCUAGAAGAAUUGGCGCUCGCUUUGCUAAGUGCCUCUAGCAAGCUAAAACCAUACUUUCAAUGCCACCCCAUAUGUGUUGUAACUACUUACCCAUUGAGGUACAUAGUGCAUAAGCCCGAGCUCUAGGGACGACUGGCCAAAUAGGCCUCGGAAAUCAGCAGGUACGAUAUCGAAUAUCGACCCCGGACCGCCAUCAAAUCUCAAAUUUUGGCAAACUUUGUGGCCGACUUUACGCCGGACCUAAUACCCAAGGUCGAAAGAGCAUUGUUGUUGUACUCAGGGACUUCUUUGGGAAUCUGGACCCUCUUUACGAAUGGUGCCUCGAACGCAAAGGGAUUCGGACUUGGCAUCGUAUUGAAACCACCAACAGGUAAUGUAGUUAGAUAAUCUAUUAGGACUGUAAAACUGACUAACAACGGGCCGAGUAUGAGGUCAUGAUUGCAGGUCUCGAACUGGCUAAAAGCUUAGGGCAGAGGUGAUCGAGGUUAAGUGCGACUCCCCCUUGUGGUGAACCAAGUUAAUGGGACGUUCGAAGCCAGAGAGGAACAAAUGCAAAGAUACCUAGAUAAUUUACAGGUAACGCUACACCGGUUCAAGGAGUGAACUCUGCAACAUGUACCUCGAGAUCAAAACAGUGAGUCUAAUGCUCUUGCAAACUUGGGAUCGUUGGUCGACGACAAUGAGUUAAACUCGGGGACGGUCGUACAACUCAUGAGAUCGGUAGUGGAAGAAGGUCACGCCGAGAUAAACUCAACAAGCCUGACCUGGGAUUAGAGAAAUAAAUAUAUGGAGUAUCUGAAGACCGGAAAACUGCCCUCGGAUCCUAAAGAAUCGAGGGCUUUGUGUACAAAGGCGGCCCAGUUCAGUUUGUCCGAAGACGGUACCUUAUUCAGGAGAACGUUUGAUGGCCCACUCGCAAUAUGUCUAGGACUGGGAGAUACCGAGUAUGUGAUGAGGGAAAUCCACGAGGGCACCUGCAGGAACCAUUCGGGCGCCGAGUCAUUGGUUCGAAAGAUAAUAGGAGCCGGCUAUUACUGGAUCGAUAUGGAAAAAGACGCAAAUGAGUUCGUACGAAAAUGCGACGAGUGUUAGAGGCAUGCUCUGAUGAUCCACCAGCCCGGGGAGCCGCUGCAUUCAGUCUUGUCACCCUCGCCAUUCAUGAAAUUGGGGAUGGACAUUGUUGGUCCCCUGCCUUGGGCGCCCGGUAAGGCUCAAUUUAUUUUAUUUAUGACUGAUUAUUUUUCUAAGUGGGUGGAAGCCCAGGUAUUUGGGAAAGUCAGGGAGAAGAAAGUUAUUGAUUUCAUCUGGGACCAUAUAAUAUGCCGGUUCGGAAUGCCGGCCGAGAUUGUGUGCGACAAUGGGAAGCAGUUCAUCGGCAGCAAAGUGAAUAAGUUUUUUGAGGACCAUAAGAUCAAAAGAAUCCUAUCGACACCCUAUCAUCCUAGUGGGAAUGGGCAAGCAGAGUCAACGAACAAAACCAUACUCCAGAACCUCUAAAAUAGGUUGAUCGAUGCCAAAGGAAAAUGGAAGGAAAUAUUGCCCGAAGUCCUAUGGGCAUAUCGUACGGCCUAAAAAUCCAGUACCGGGGCCACUCCAUUCUCGUUAGUCUACGGUGCUGAAUCUCUUAUACCAGUCGAAGUAGGAUAACCGAGUCUCCGGGUCCGAUAUGCCUCCAAAGAGUCAAACGAUGAGGCCAUGAGUACGAACCUGAAACUAUUAGACAAAAAGCGCAAGGUCGCCCACGUCCGAAUGGCCGCCCAAAAGCAAUGGAUCUAAAGGUAUUACAAUCGAAGAGCCAACCUUAGACACUUCAGUGUUGGGGAUUUGGUGUUAAGAAGGGUGACGCUGAGCACCCGGAACCCGAACGAAGGAAAGAUGGGACCGAAUUGGGAAGGCCCAUAUUGAAUUAUCGAGAUCACUGGCAAAGGAUCGUACAAACUCGAAAUGGUGAACGGUGAACGACUAUCGAACAACCGGAACAUAACCCACUUAAAAUGAUAUUAUUGCUAAGGUACGGCCCCAUUCAUUUCUUUUCUUUACAUAUUGGACUAACACUUGCAUGUAACGGUUAAUGAAUGAUACAACGUUUAGGCCUAAAAGCACGCGUUGCACUUUUUUUUCCUUGAGCCGGUUCUGUCCCAAAUGGGUUUGCCGGCAAGGUUUUUAACGAGGCAACAAUGGAUCGUGCUAACUUAGAAUUGAAUAUCAGCUAUGAACCGGUGUCAAAGAUCAUGUCAACAGUAUCUGAGGGUUCUCUAAAGUUCAGCCUCGAAUACUGGGGGCGUCACCCUCAGACAAUGAUUUAGCAAGGAAAGAAACUCCGUGCUUGAACAUUCGAGGCUCGGUGGAUAGGGUUUACUGUAAGGGCCAAACGGUCAAAUGAACCAUGCUCACAUAGACCACCCAAGCCAUAAAAAAAAGCUUGAACACAUUGAAACUUUGCAUAUUGUGCACAGAAAUGAAAGAUAGUUUCUACCUUGCAGAUAAAUAAUGUCUCUAAAAAUUACUACAUUAUGUUCCCUUAAGACAUCGAGACCAAGGGCCACCUCUAUCAGGUUCCAAGAGAUCACUCUCACUCGGGGACUGUCGUCCAAAGACAAACUCGGACGGCCUGGGCUAUCGAAGCCCGGGGGCACAAAACCUAUUAGGCAGUGCCCGAACUUUAAAGGCUACGGCCAUCCCCAUUCGGGGACUGUUAUCUUGGGCAAGCCCGAAUGACUCGAGGUAAUAAUCCCACUAGGCAACACCCAAACUUAAAAGGCUAUGGCCGUCCUAGAAUGGCUCAUAGACGUCCAAGAUCCAUAACCAAAACACAAAGCCUUCAAAAUUUCUAAAUCGGUUCGAAGGCUACCCUCGGCAAAAUCAUAAAAAUUUCUAAGUAAAUAUUUCGAGGAAAGCUUCCGGUCAUACCAAGCCCCCCACGAGUUUUGAGCAAAAUAAUAUCGAAAACGAACAAUGUUCAAACUUCCGAAUAAGACCUAAUUAUUAUGUGCUAGGCAUCCGAAAUCUUUGCAAUCCUAAAGAAAAAAGCAAAAAGAAACAAGCUUGAAAAUUUUUGAAGGGAAAAAUCCUUGUAUAUAAAUUAAAAUAUCUUUACAAAGGCCAAACGGCCUCUAAAAAAACAUCUACAAAACACCUAAGCAGCCUGGUCCUCGCCGGAGCCCACCUCAUCACCAGGACCAUCAGGGUCAUCUCCAUCCUCGGACCCGCCAGAACCUUCAAAGUCUCCUUCAUCCUCGGGAUAUGCCAACUUCUUGGCCUCGGCCUUGAACCCCUUAGCAUUUUCGAUCUCGGUUGAUAAAUCAAAACUCCGGGCAUGAACCUCCUCGAGGGCCUCCCUUCGAGACUGCCACUUCACAUAUUCAACGUUAUCUUUUAGGUGGUCCUAGGCUGCCUUAGCAUCAACUUUGUACUGGGACACCAUCUCAUCGGCAUCGACCCUGGUUAUUUCAGCCACUGACUUGGCUGAUUUAAGCUCCUUGGCGAGGGCAUCCCAAUCGGCAACAGUCGAGCCCAGUUGAGACUGGAGCUCCUCAAAUUUUUAGGACCGGGCCUCAGCUUUCUCCCUCAUCGCUCGAAGUUGAGCCUCUGCCGAGGUCAAUUGCGCCCGGUCAGUCUCCUUUUUCGAGGCCAAGCGAUCCAUCUUUCCUUUCCAAUCUUUGGCCUCGACCUUGAUUACAUCCAUCUCAGCUCGGAGUUGGCCGAUCCGAUCAAUCUUCUGUUGGACCUGCGGGUUCUGACCAUUAGUCACUGUAUCUAGCUCAUCAUCACUAACUUUAAAGAUUUUUACAUGUUCCACUAGGUCGGCGUGUUCUUUCUGAGCCGCAUCUAACACGGCUCGAAGGCUCUUAGCCUCUCCUUCACAUUACUCGUUGAGAAGUUUGUACAUGUCUCUCUUCUCAGCAAGCUCUUUGACUUAGGCCUCGAGUUGGCUCAGCUCAUCCCGAUACUUCAGGAUGGUUUCAUGGUGAAGCACCAAGGCUUGCAAAUAUAAGAAGAAAUAUUAGAAUCAUCAAGAACUAAAGCUGAAAAAUGAAAAAGUUUGGCAACACUAUACCCAGUUUAGCGCCUGUUGUGCCUCAUUGAACAGGCAUGGCACAUCCACCUCGUUUAUUUUUUCCUGGUCUUCGUCGGUAUGCACCAGAGGUAACUAGCUACCCCAACAUGGGCGGAAAGAACUCGGGCAUCCUCCGGAACGGUGAUGAUAAUUGACCGCUUCUGACCAGGAUCCGCACUCGGGGCAGGGAACAGGUUGACCAGUCUCGGGCUCGAGUUAGGACCACCUGCCUCCGAGGAUGAACUUUUCUUCGGUACCUCUAAGUCACCUAACACCGAUGGCAUCCUCUAUGGCGAUGGAAUCCACGCCGUCAAAAAAGCAACGGAAGGGAUUGUCUGCUCCGUGGGCCCCCUUGUUGGGUCAUUCUUUCACCGUUUGGGCCUCGUUGUACAUAGACUCGGUAAACGAGGGUGACUCAGUAAUGUUUAUCACACCAAGUGCCUCCUUCGGAACACUGCCCGCAUCCCGGGAAGCCUCGGCUACGGCCUCCUCAUCGACCUCCCUAGCCUGAGGAAGAUCGGCCUUGCGGGUCUCUGGUUCAACGGCCACCUGCUCUUCGAGGGGCGACGGCCCGCGGGCCACAAAAGUCUCUUCCCCCUCCGUCUCGUCCCUAAGCCGAUAGAGCAAGUCCGAAGCUGGUGUUCAGGAGCUGGUGUUUUCCUUUGGCUUGCACACCAACCUUCUCCUUGGUUUCUUUUUCUCCGAGCUCGGGGAACUCGGAGCCCUCCUCCUUUUCCUCUCUCCGGCCUGCCCCGGAGCAGGAGACUCAACAGGCAAGUCCUCGUCACCUACUGGAGGCCUAAGCUCGACGUUCUUAGGCAAACUUGCAAAAGAAAGUAAAUGGGAUAAGGAUGCGAUGUUAUAAGAAAAGGUUCAACACAACUUGUUCGAGAAAGGAACCUUACCAUGGGAACGGGCCUCCCAACGGCCUUUUGAAAGUUUGUGCCAUGAGCGCUCGGAGUAGGGCAUCUGUGACACAAUGCACUCGACCCACUCCUUGAGCUGUCAACGCCUAAAGGGAAUACUUACGUGAUGCGUUCCACCUUUCGGGGAACGGCUUCCACUCGGCAGGUACCAGGUCGGCGGUCCUCACCCGAACAAAACGUACUUGCCAACCCUGAUCUCGGUCCUCAUUGAUGCUCGAGAACGGGGCUUUGUUGGCCCGGCGUACUAGCUUUAUUAGUCCCCCCUCCCCCCUCCCCCCAAGCAGAUUCGGGGACUGUACAAGCGGAGUAGAUGAUCGAUGGUAAACGAGCACCCAUCAAUUUUGUUCACAAAGAAUCGGAGGAGGAUCACAAUCCUCCACAGUGAUGGAUGAAUCUGGCCAAGGCAUACGUUAUACCAACUACAGAAGUCUAAGAUGGCCGGGUCUACCUUGCCCAAUGUAAUGGGAUAAGUGUAAACACUUAGAUAUCCCUCGACAAGGGUGGUAAUGGCCUCUUCGGGGUCGGGGACCACUAUGUCUUUGUCGGCCCAGUUGUAGUAUUUUCGGACCGUGGGGAGGACCUCUUUGGUAAUUGAGCAGAUAUAUCUCGAGGCCUCUUCACGUCGACCCUGUAUAGAAGAAGGCUUCUUAACCUUGAAGUCGUCGGUGACCGAACAGCCACCGGGAAUGAACAUCUUCAAGGGCGGCUCUUCCGCUGGUUCAUCAACAACUGUAUCGGGGACGGUCUCCUCGACCUCAGUGGCCGGUCUCGAAGAAGAAGGAGCAUCCUUCUGAGGAACAGAUUUUGAGGUUUUUACCAUUGUUAUGGAAGAAAAAGCUUGGAAAAGAAGGAGAAAGGUUGAAAGUUGAAAGAUCAGACUUAUUGGCUUGAGUAGGAGAUGAGUGAAAGUUUUUGCAAAGUACUGAAGAACCUUGAGUAACGGAUGUAAAAACGCUAGAAAGUAUUGAAAACCUGAAGGUACGAAGGUAGAAGAUUUGGUGUAAAGUGAAAAAUGGACAGAGGAGGAGGUAUUUAUAGGAGUUCGGUGACGUUUCGCAUCCACGAACGGCCGACUGGCGGUUGACAUGCAUUUAAUGCCAUUACGACAUGACUGACGAGACGUUUCGAGUGUUUUGUCGUUUCUGCCGCGAUUUGUCGAAGUAAGAAUCGGAAGCUCAUAUCGUUUCUCGUCAUUUACUCUCCAAGAAAUGAGGGGACUAUCUGUAUACGGGUAAAAUCAAGCUCAAAGUACACCCCAGUCUCCGACAAAAUAAGUCAAGCUCGAGACAUGAUGACAGGGGACCGAAAUCGAGGCAAAGGUCUCAUCGAGUCAGAAUCCGGGGGCAUGACGCCCGCCCUCGAGAAUAUCGGGGUCAUGGUUCGGAAUCGAUUUUAGCCUUGAACGACGUCGAAGAAUAUUGUCAGGCAAUCGAGCACGGCCAACGGAAGGCCGUAAUAUCCGUGACCGGCCGGAUAUCACGGUGGGGAUCUCGGCACGUAUCGGUGAAGAACCGGCAAUUAGUUAAUCAGACGGUUUUUUACCUUUACAGAAUUGUACCUAGAAUAGGAUUCCCCUACUAUAUAAAGGGAUCUAAUAAUUCAUUAAAGACACUGGAACACGCAUAUCAAAGCAAUAUACUAUUAUUUUCUCUGUUACUAGCUGGCCAUAACGAGUCCGGAUCGAGGGUGAAUAUUUCAUUAAGGCUGGAACUAUUCUCCUCGUGUGGUUUGAAUCCAUUUUAUCUUUGUUUAUUCAUUUUGACUUAAUUUAUCGCUUUGUAUCAAAUUAAAUCGCGUAUCCUUAAAAUCACUUACAAAUUUAAUUGUUAUCCGAUUUUGAGGGUAAACAACUAUUAUGUUUUGUUUUUUUGAUAAAGGUGAAUACUGUACUUUAUAUAGCAGAACAUUUUAUAGUGCAAAAAUAUUGCUGCAAACAUUAUAUUUGUUUACAAUGAGAUCUUCAAGCAAAUAUAAUAGUUGUCUAUCCAUCAGAUCAUCAUAUCCAUUCUAACCAAUAGUCAGAUAGAAUGUAAUACAAAUUAAAUUGCAUAUAGCUCCAGAGUGGACUCACCCUCGGCAGAUUUUUCCAAUGAGAGAAAGCGAGAGACCAGAAAUCCUUUAGAUAAAACACUCUUUACUAUGAUAAAGAUGGACAAUUUGAAAUUUAUCAUACUAAGAAUGUGAAGGAACCUCAAAAAAAGGAAGUUUUACAAACUCCAUAAUGAAGGAAACUCAGUAAAGGAAUACUGCUCACUAUUGUGAUGUCAAUGGAGUUUCCCAAAAAAUAAAAUAAUCCCGUCUUCAAGCUGUAAAGGCCAAGAACUAUUAUAAAAAGAAGCUUCUCGUCGAUUAAAAUGCAGUGAAGAAACAAUAACAAAAAUAAUGGAAAGACUAUUUUACCACACCAGCAAUUUCAUAACCAUUACAAAGUGAAAAGUUGCAAUGAGCACAUAUCCAGCUGGCAAAAAAAAAGAUUUUUGUCCAUAUUUUUAAACAUCACAUUGAGUGCAAAUGUUACUCUUUUGAGUGAUUUAAAUACCUGGAAAACAGAAAUGGCACAUCAUAAUACUGAAAACUUAAAAAAUGGUAGAACAAAAAGAAAAAAGGAUAAAUUUUCCACCAGGUGAAAGCUAGCCCACUCACUUAUCCUAGUUGUGUCACCAUUUUACAUAAAAAAAAAUUCACUCAUAAACUUUUAUUUACAGAUUGAAAUUAUUGUCUUUCUUGACUCCUACAGAAUUCAAUUGUUACACACGUCACAAUAAAUUUCAUCAUAUUUGUGGACCUUCUAUAGAUAACAUUAUCUGAUCGUUUAGGAAAUUCAUACUUUUGUUUUUGUUUUUGAAGAAGGCAAGAUAAAUUAAACCGCCAUAAAUAUAUUUUUUAUGAGGGUUGUAAGAAAAACAGUUGGUCGAAGACUAAUAAUUUAGGGAAAAUUAUAUUGUCUUUCAAUCACUCGCGCAAACUCUUCUUUCCAACUAAUGUAAUACUUGAUUCACGCUUAUCCCAUAGUCGUAGAGAGGUCAUAUUUCUUGAUAAAUGAUGUUUUCUCUUUUUAUUGAACUGCUAAAAAUACGUCUAACAAUGAAAAUAAAACACAAACUCACCUUCAAAAUGGAUCUUCCGAUAGGUUGCCUGAGAGUACAAAUGAAGGACAUAAUCACAAACAUCGAUCAAAUUUAUCCAUAAAUAGAACUAAAGAUUAACACAGUUAUUUAAUUGAGUUACCUCAGUUGAAUCCCAAGUGAAGAUUACCACGAUUCUGUUGUUGCAUGACUCCAGCAGUAAAUUUCAGUAGAACGAUUUAAUUCUAAACUAAUAUAGUUGGCAAAAAAACAAAAUUCAUAAUGCAUCAGCAAAAUAUAGGCAAUUACUGACAUGCAUGUAAAAGUUCUACCAAAAUAAUAUUUUCUAAUUUUUAAUUACCAGCAGAACAAGUGCAAUAAACAAAGAAAAACAUUACAAAUAAGUCACCAAACCAGAGAGCUCACACCAAAUUCAAAUACAACAAGGAUGGAUAAAUUUUGAAACAAUGAAGAUCAAAUCCUGAUUUUUAUAAAUAAUUUGCCAAAAACAAAGAAAGAUUGGAAGAAAACUUACCAAAUCAAUGAGCUCACACUUGAAAGAAGAAGAGCAGAAAGGCAAAAAAUUUGAGAAACAAUUGAAAAAUGAAAAGUAAAAGUAUAAGCGAGUACUAUGGGACUAUGUAUAGCAGCAAACGUGCUAUCUAGGAAGGAAUCACACACUUAGACAAGUGAGGGUUGCUCAGUCGGUAAAAGCACCCCCACCCACGACCAUUAGGUCCUGAGUUCGAGUCACGUUGGAGGAGAAAUGUGAAAACACUAUAAAUCCUUCUAAUUUGGGAGGGGAUUUAAAAAAAAAAAAUCACACACUUACCAAAUUACCCAUAAAGUAAAGAACAAUUGCCGAUUUACCCUUCGUCGUACCUCAAAAUAAAAAAUAAUAGUUAUACAACAAUAAUAUAUUCAACAUAUGUAAUAUUUAUACGAUAAAUAUACGGCAGACUAAAUCAUAAAAUUAAUAUAUGCCCAUAAUACAUCAUAUAUCACUAUGCAUAUCCAAAUAAUUAUCCAUAUGUAUAUAUUAGUUAUAUACAUAAUAUACUAGUAUACUAUAUAAUAAUAUUUAUACAACUAUAUUAUACUCCAAAUAUUAUAUAUAUAUAUAUAUAUAUAUAGGGGUCUUGCUAACAUACUAAAAAUGUAGUAUGUUAGCAUUGUAUCCAUUUUAUUAUUUCCUAAAAUAUCCGUAGUAGCUUAUUACAAGAUAUUAACAGAUGAGGCUUUUUGGUCUUUUUGCAAAAAAUUAAGCCCACCAUCUUUGCAUACCCUCAUCUCCCCACCUUUCGUCUCUCUCUACUCUCUUUCUUCUCCAAAUUUCUGUUUUCUUUUUCAAUGCAGUUGGCUUGUUGAGAAGAGAAGAAUCAUAUACAAAGCAGAAAAAGGGCAUCCACCUUGAAAGAAAUUAGAUACUAUCUGUUGCCUCAUUCUCGUUAUAUCUUAGAUUUUACUGUUUUAAGAUCAAGUAAAAGGGUUAGUCAACCAUGAACUUUAUUCUCUAUUAACUAAAAAAACAUGUCUAAUUUGUUUAAUUAAACCCAACUCAACUCCCCUAUUUUCCUCCACAGAUCCAGACAUCCAUUGAAGUAGAAUAAUGGGAUAUGAAAUUUUUUUUAAAAAUAAACUCAGAAAUCCAUGAAAGUAGAAUAAUAAAAUGGGGUAAAUUUUCAAAGGUUUAAUGAAAGGGAAAAGAGAUUUCUGGCCAAAAUCGAAAUUAGAAUGAAAGAAUUUUUUUUGUGGGUUGAACCUUACAAUAAGAAAACAAAAGUGAGAAAGAAGGAGGCAAAUGGCGAUCGAGAUGGAAGAGAGAGGAGGGAAAUGAAAUAGAUCUUUUAGCUUCUUUCCAAAAAGACCAAAAAAAAACCCCUCACACUAACAAAGUUAGCUAUAAGUUACAAGGGGCAAUUAACAAACUAUACUUAUUAUUUUUAGGAGUAUAAAAAGAAUCAAAUACAACAAAAAAAAUAAACAUGUAAAGAAAACCUCUCAUCAGUUUCCCAUAUUUGAAAAUCAUCAUUUUUCUUCAUUUAAAAAAAAAUAAAAGGGAAAAAUCAAAAAGGUCAAUAGAAAAUGAACAAUAAUGUGGUCUAAUGGUUGUACAAUCUUGUUCCUUAUAAACAGCUAAAUGGAGUAACUUAUCACAUUAAUUACCUUUUGGCAUUUUUAGGACUUCCACUAAAAAUAAGCAACGGAGCAUGGGAAGGAUUGAGAUGUCCAUGAAUUAAUUGAUUAUGUUUCUGUUAGGUAGCUGCCCGUUUUGUUAAAUACUUACUCCUGCUAAAAUUUAAAAAAAAAUCUUAAAUAUUGACUAAUUAUGUUUUUACCUCAAAAAAAUAGGGGCUUUUGCAAUCUAUACCCGAUUUUGGGGUCACAAUUGAACCUAUACCCACUUUGCAAAAAUGUUUUCAAGUGUACCCACUUUAUGAUAUACUUCAAACUUAUCGGGUUUGAAGUUAAAAAAAAUUAGUCUGAAGUGAAAAAAAUUACACUUCAAAUGCACUUAAGGCUAAAUAGGUUUGAAGUGCAACCAAUGGUUUCAUGCACNNNNNNNNNNNNNNNNNNNNNNNNNUGCACUUAAGGCCAAAAGGUCUGAAGUGCAACAAACGUUUUCAUUCACUUAAGGCCAAUAGGUCUGAAGUGAAAAUUUGCACUUCAGAUGCACUUAAGGCCAAAUAGGUUUGAAGUGUAAUCAAUAGUUUCAUGCACUUAAGGUCAAUAAUGUUGAAGUGAAAAAUUGCACUUCAGAUGCACUUAAGGCCAAAAGGUUUGAAGUGCAACAAACGUUUUGCUACACUUAAGGCCAAUAAGUCUGAAAUGAAAAAUUGCACUUCAGUUGCACUUAAGGCCAAAAGGUCUGAAGUGCAACCAACGUUUUUAUGCACUUAAGGCCAAAUAGGUCUGAAGUGCAAAUUGCCCAUAAACAGAAAUUUGUUCUUCGAAUUAUAACAAUCCAAUUUACGAUUUAAUAUCUAAAUCUACUCCAAAUGAGUUCAAAUUUGAAAUAUAACCUCCAAAUAUCAUCAGGAACAAACUACAAUCAUCAAUUUGUCAAAACAACAAUAAAUCUAACGAACUCAUUUUGAAAUUAAGAAAAAGAAGAAGAAGAAGAAACCCUAAGCAAUAGCAAAAGAAAAGCGUCAUAACAGCUCACCAUUGUAAAACAUCAUAAACUACAUUAAAAUAUGUUCACAACCAUCAUAAAAAAUUAUUAUCACUCGAAGAAGAAAAAGAAGGAGAAGGAGAAGAAGAAAACGAAGGAGGAGAAAGAGGCCUGAAAUUGUUUAAAAAGCGGGUACAAAUUAAAACUUUUUAAAAAGUGGGUAUAGAUUAAAUGGGAACGACCGUGCAAUUUUUACAAAAACAAAUGUCAUCUUUAUGGAACAUGCUGGAUUACUUGUUGAUAGUUAUGAAAACAUUGAGGCCCAACCCUCUUUUUAUUACUUAAAAUUGAUGAUAUCAAAAUGAUGAAAGAAUGAGUCAAGUGGAAAUAUUCCGUAGGCGAAAAUGAAAAUAAUGCUUUGAAUUAAUAUAGUUGUAUCUGUCAAUUUUAUAAUUCUUAAAAUACCAAUUUUUUAUUUUAUAAUUCGUCUAAUUUCAUGUACUAUAUACUAUUUAAUGUGGAGCUGAUAACCAGUUUUGCAAAAAUAUCCGUUCUGAUUAUUCUUAGCCUGAAACGAUAAUUUUGUAGCAACACAUUUGUCACAAAACGAUGUUAAUAAGCAUGCACCUCUAAUCAAAAGUACAUAUAAUAAGGGAAAAUGUUUUCAAUCUUCUUACUACACGCACAAUAAAAUAUUGGAUUACUAGGAUGAAAAAAAAUAACCAAAACAUACGGCAAAGUGGAUUCUUAUUUAUGAACCUUAUGAAAAUUGUACUAAGUACAGUAGCCAUUGCACCUCUUUUGCGAUAUUUCUAAUUUAUUCAGAUUUGGAAGGGAAGAAGAGGGUAUGAGAGAAUAGGAUUUUCCGCUUCCCCUUAUUGUUUUUUCAGCUAAAAGAAGAAAGAAAUAAAGAAAGAGCAGCAUUUCAAUAAGAUGAAUUGAAACAUUUCGUUAAAUCGUUAACUCUGUUGAUAUUUUCAUCCAAAAAUUGUUUUAUUAGGCCUUUACACAAAUAAGUUUUACCCACUUUGGUUCGACAAAGAUUAGUAAUUAACCAAUCAUUCAACGGGAUUGAGUUCUAUAAUUUCCCUAGAAUGGAUUGGACCUUGCAUACCAUACAUAAUGCAUCACUUUUUUUACUUUCGUCCAUGUAAGACAUGAUUUGAGUUAUUUUGAUCAAAACGUGGUAAAAAUGUUCAUGGAACCAACAUUCUAAUUCCUUUUUUAAAUAUUGAAGCGAAGGAAGGCUCUUAGCCAACUGCUUUGAUUCUGAUACCCAAAUCAGAUUCCGAGUGUUAUUAGUAGAAAACCUUUGAUCAAUUGGCCUCUACAUGAACCUACACGCGUAUACAAGUUAAAGUCUAAUUUGUAUUUGUAAUAAUAGAAGGUUAAAGAAAACAUAAAAGCCGACCUCUGCAAGUAAGGAAUCAACCAAAAACAGUUGCACAAGGCGUGAACAAGCAACAACAACAAACCCAGUAUAGUGUAAACGUGAACCUUAUCUCCACUUUGAAGAUAGAGAGACUGUUACCGAUAGACCCUCAGCUCACGAACAAAAUAUACAAGCCUGUAAACAUUUUCCAGUACAGUAAAUGAUUUGGCAAAUCUCAAACACCGUUUGGCAUAAUCUAAUGUGACCUUCGUCUUUGGUUCUUGUGAUGACCCAAAAUAUCAUCUUUAAAUUUAAUAAGUAAUUCUGUAUUCAGAGACCUCAAAAAGUACCAUUUAUCAUUCCUCGACUUGCGUGCGCAGUCCGUACAAUUUUCCGGUUUGUUUUUAUGUGAAAAAUAGAUUAAAAUGGGAAAUAGAGCUUUAAAAUUUAACUAAGUUGACUUUGGUCAACAUUUUGAGCAAACGGAUCCGGAUCAGUACUUUCAAAAUUCCGGUAGGUCCGUAUCGUGAUUUGAGACUUGGGCGUAUGCCUGGAAUCGAAUUCCGAGGUCCCUAUCUCGAGAUAUGGAAUUUUGAUGAAAAAUUAAAAGCUUGAAAGCUUAAUGAUUUCUAAGAAAUUACUAAUGUUGGAUUUAUUGACCUCGGGUCCCUAUUUUGGUUUCGGAGCCCGAUAUAGGUCCACUAUAAUAUUUAUGACUUAUCUGCCGAAUUUGGUGAGAAUCGGAGUUGAUUUGACGUGAUUCGGACGUCCAGUUGUAAAAAUAUAAGUUUUAAAGUUUUCUUGAAAACUUCCUUUGAUUUGGUGUCCGAUUCGCAGUUCUAGGUGUUAUUUUGGCGAUUCGAUCGCGCGAGCAAGUUCGUAUGAUAUUUUAGAACCUGUGAGCAUGUUUGGUUUGGAGCCCCGAGGGUUCGAGUGAGUUUCGGAUAGGCUACGGAAUGUUUUGGACUUUGAAAAUCUGGUAUUUUGCUGCAGCAGGUGUUCUGGCAUGUUCUUCUUUGCGUUCACGAAGGUACUCUCGCGAACGCGAAGAGUAAACUGGGCAGCUGAAUUUUUCUUCUUCGCGAACGCGAAGGCUUGGUCGCGAACGCGAAGCGAUGGGGGCAUUACCCUUCGCGAACGCGACCAUCUCCUCGCGAAUGCGUAGUGUUAGGCACACCUGGGGGAGGGUCGAUCAUUCCUUCAGCGCGAACGCGAGCUAUGCCUCGCGAACGCGAAGGAGGACUCGCGAACNNNNNNNNNNNNNNNNNNNNNNNNNNNNNNNNNNNNNNNNNNNNNNNNNNNNNNNNNNNNNNNNNNNNNNNNNNNNNNNNNNNNNNNNNNNNNNNNNNNNNNNNNNNNNNNNNNNNNNNNNNNNNNNNNNNNNNNNNNNNNNNNNNNNNNNNNNNNNNNNNNNNNNNNNNNNNNNNNNNNNNNNNNNNNNNNNNNNNNNNNNNNNNNNNNNNNNNNNNNNNNNNNNNNNNNNNNNNNNNNNNNNNNNNNNNNNNNNNNNNNNNNNNNNNNNNNNNNNNNNNNNNNNNNNNNNNNNNNNNNNNNNNNNNNNNNNNNNNNNNNNNNNNNNNNNNNNNNNNNNNNNNNNNNNNNNNNNNNNNNNNNNNNNNNNNNNNNNNNNNNNNNNNNNNNNNNNNNNNNNNNNNNNNNNNNNNNNNNNNNNNNNNNNNNNNNNNNNNNNNNNNNNNNNNNNNNNNNNNNNNNNNNNNNNNNNNNNNNNNNNNNNNNNNNNNNNNNNNNNNNNNNNNNNNNNNNNNNNNNNNNNNNNNNNNNNNNNNNNNNNNNNNNNNNNNNNNNNNNNNNNNNNNNNNNNNNNNNNNNNNNNNNNNNNNNNNNNNNNNNNNNNNNNNNNNNNNNNNNNNNNNNNNNNNNNNNNNNNNNNNNNNNNNNNNNNNNNNNNNNNNNNNNNNNNNNNNNNNNNNNNNNNNNNNNNNNNNNNNNNNNNNNNNNNNNNNNNNNNNNNNNNNNNNNNNNNNNNNNNNNNNNNNNNNNNNNNNNNNNNNNNNNNNNNNNNNNNNNNNNNNNNNNNNNNNNNNNNNNNNNNNNNNNNNNNNNNNNNNNNNNNNNNNNNNNNNNNNNNNNNNNNNNNNNNNNNNNNNNNNNNNNNNNNNNNNNNNNNNNNNNNNNNNNNNNNNNNNNNNNNNNNNNNNNNNNNNNNNNNNNNNNNNNNNNNNNNNNNNNNNNNNNNNNNNNNNNNNNNNNNNNNNNNNNNNNNNNNNNNNNNNNNNNNNNNNNNNNNNNNNNNNNNNNNNNNNNNNNNNNNNNNNNNNNNNNNNNNNNNNNNNNNNNNNNNNNNNNNNNNNNNNNNNNNNNNNNNNNNNNNNNNNNNNNNNNNNNNNNNNNNNNNNNNNNNNNNNNNNNNNNNNNNNNNNNNNNNNNNNNNNNNNNNNNNNNNNNNNNNNNNNNNNNNNNNNNNNNNNNNNNNNNNNNNNNNNNNNNNNNNNNNNNNNNNNNNNNNNNNNNNNNNNNNNNNNNNNNNNNNNNNNNNNNNNNNNNNNNNNNNNNNNNNNNNNNNNNNNNNNNNNNNNNNNNNNNNNNNNNNNNNNNNNNNNNNNNNNNNNNNNNNNNNNNNNNNNNNNNNNNNNNNNNNNNNNNNNNNNNNNNNNNNNNNNNNNNNNNNNNNNNNNNNNNNNNNNNNNNNNNNNNNNNNNNNNNNNNNNNNNNNNNNNNNNNNNNNNNNNNNNNNNNNNNNNNNNNNNNNNNNNNNNNNNNNNNNNNNNNNNNNNNNNNNNNNNNNNNNNNNNNNNNNNNNNNNNNNNNNNNNNNNNNNNNNNNNNNNNNNNNNNNNNNNNNNNNNNNNNNNNNNNNNNNNNNNNNNNNNNNNNNNNNNNNNNNNNNNNNNNNNNNNNNNNNNNNNNNNNNNNNNNNNNNNNNNNNNNNNNNNNNNNNNNNNNNNNNNNNNNNNNNNNNNNNNNNNNNNNNNNNNNNNNNNNNNNNNNNNNNNNGGGUGCUUACCAUCAGAGCAACCCACCUUGUCCAACAACAGACUUGUUAAAAAGUUAAUAUUGGAGGAUCGGGUUGCACGCCGCAACAUACUUGAUUAAAAUGAAUAUGUUAGAGGAGCGGGUUGCACGCCGCAAUAGAACUGAAUGUGGAUAUAUUGUGAGAGCGGGUUGCACGCUGCAACAGAACUGAAUGUGGAUAUAUUGUGAGAGCGGGUUGCACGUUGCAACAGAAAUAAUGGAAAUGAUAAUUGGUUAUGACUGCUGAGUUGCCUUCAAUUAUUAUAAAUGAAUUACUUGAUUUAUUCCUAUUAUUGUUGUUACUAAUAUUGCGUACAGGUUUAUGUAAGUGAACCGCCUUAGCCUUGUCACUAUUUCGUCGAGGUUAGGCUCAGCACUUACCAGUACAUAGGGUCAGUUGUACUGAUACUACACUCUGCACUUCUUGUGCAGAUUUUGGAAUUGGUCCCAGUGACGUACCAUAAACUUGCUCGGAUUUCAGCUAUCAGAGGAGACUUGAGGUAUAACUGCAUGGCGUCCGCAGUUCUGAAGUCCCAGUCUAUUGUACUUUAGCUGUGUGUUUAUUUUCAGACAGCUUUAUAUUAUUCAGACCUUUAUUUGUAUUUAUUCUAGAAGCUCGUGCACUUGUGACACCAAUUCUGGGAUGGUAUUUAGACACCGUUGUUUGAUGGAUUAUUUCACUAUAUUUCAAACUUUGCUUCCGCAUUUGUUUUCUUGUUAUUAAUACAUUUAAAAAUUAUUUUAAAAUGGAUAAUAUUAUUCUAACGUUGGCUUGCCUAGCAAGUGAAAUGUUAGACGUCAUCACGGUUCGAAGAUGGAAAUUUCGGAUCGUGACAAUUCCUUCUUUCAUCCCACCUUACUACUUGAUAAAAGACUUGCCAUGAAAAAGGGCAGAUCAAAUUAAUCUCAUUUACGUCAAGCCAAAGGUCCAAUCCCCAAAUGACAAAACUACUCUCAAGUCUCAAACGAGUAGAAUCUCUUUUUUUUUUGUUGGAGAAGUGGCUCCUCCAUCUUAUCCAUCUUAAGGAAGCGCUUUAUAUACUGUACAAAAUAGAGCACAAACCAAAAGGUAAAUCCCAUCUCUACUGUUGCAGGGGUUCUAUGAGAUCUAAAAUUAAUUCUGCAACAUUGACUAUCUCCUCUUUACAAAGCAAUGCCUAAAAACAUGUAUAAUGCCCAAAGAAUAGCAACUUUCAGUGUCCUUAUCAACUGGGUAGUUAAGUGAGCACAUAGUUUUGAAAUCAAAGCUCAGUGCUAUGUUAUUCUCAAGUGAAUUCCAAUCUUCAAAAAAUAGAAAAUAAAAUAUAAUCAAUCCCAAAUUGAGGUAAGGUAUAUGGAAAUCCUCUAUCCAUUUCAUUACAACACCAAAUAAUUUGCACGUUAUUGCAUAUCAUGAAUUCUCUAAGUCCUACCACUCCUCCAACAUCGAUAACUAAUUUAAUCCAUCAGUCUAAAAUCAAUAUGAAUUUUCUGCUUCAAAAACUGCAUAACCCAAAAAGUACUUUACUGGUAGGGAUGGCAAUGGGUAGUGCGGGUGCAGGGGCAGGUUUAGACAUAUGCAGGCGGGGCGGGUUAAACUAAAAAAAUAUUUUUUCGCAAGGGCGGGUGAGUUUAAAUACUCAUUUUUCACAACUGAAAAGGAGUAGAAAAUGUUUAAUUUUAACAAAUCCAAUCUCAUACACUAUAAAUUAAUGUUCUUCCAUUAUGACAAAAACAAUGAGGUCACUUGACGAAUAAGUAUAAUACAAAUCUCUACGGUAACUAUAUGAAAACAGAGACUAAAAACUGGAACAAUAACAGUAAAUGAGAAAAUUAAUCGCCACUUCUGAUUGAAAUAAAUUAAGAUGGUAAAAUAUUUAUUCUGACUAUGUGUGUGUACAUGUUGAUCCCGCGUUCAUUGAUCGCAAAAAUAAAAUAAGAUAAAUUGAAAAGGAAAUAAAAAAGUUGUGGGGGAGGGCGGGUAGGCGCAGGUGUGGUGCGGGGCAGGUGUGGUGCGGGUUAAAAGAGCUAUGCGGGGCGGGGCGUGUUAGAAAUUUUGCGGGUUAAGAGAGAACCCGCCCCGCACCCGCACCACUUGCCAUCCCUAUUUACUGGUCCUCCCCUAAACCAGAUAGAUCUAUUUGAUCUUUCCGUGAAGAAGAAUGCCUCAAAAGAUUUGCUUGUUGAAACACUCCAUGUGCAAGACUACAUAUAAGAUACAAUGAGGCAUCAAAUGAGCAACUCUAGAACCAAAACUAACACAUCACGCACUGCACUCUUACCAUUCAACCAAAGCCGAAUGCCAAGUGAAGCCAACUCCCUAAAUCAAUCAUAUCAAGGGAAGUAUAGAACUUCAGAAAAUCCAAUUCCAUGUUAUAAAAGCAAUAAAGCUCCUAUAAAGCAAUAAAGCUCCUAUAAUCACAAGGAUUUACCAUACUAAUGAAAAUGGAGUAGCAUUUCAAUUGUCAAAGCCAUCAAAAUGAACUACAAUCAAAACUUCCAACUGUAUCAAGAAAAAGCGAAUAACAAGCUCAAGUUUUUCAUCAAUAACCGAUAAAUUUAACGACAAAAAGAGCUUCAGAGCCCUAGAACAGAAGCAACCGAAAGGACUACUUGGAUCUCUGCCUCAUCUUUCGGCGCUUCCUCUUCAACCUCCUCAUUCUCUUCUUCUUCCACUGUAAUAAAUUAUCCCACAAUAUGGUUUAUCAAUUAAACGAAAGUAAUAAAACAACCAUAUACUAAAAGCUUUAUGUGACAAAAACAGAAGCAACUACAGGUGAUUUGACUUUAAUUUUGCGAAGAAAUCGUACCUUAGCUCUCAUGGCGACAGAGAAGUUUGGUGCGCGAUACCGUUUGGUAAAACCCUAACCCUAGAGAACGACAGCGGGGUUUGGGGUUUCAAUCAUUUUAUACUAAGCUGAAGGGUAUGGGCCAAACAUGAAGCACAACUAGUAAUUUCUUACUGGGCUUUUGGGCCUUGAGGAAAAUAGUAAAAAUGAUACCAGGUAGCCACCUUUACCACUUAGUAAUAUAGCCGCAUUUGCAAAUAUUUGAAAAAUAGCCAGUUCAUUUUUUGGGGUUUCAAAAUGUCUCUUGAAAAAAAAAAAAAAAACUGCUAGAAGAAGAUAUUUGUCUUCUCUGCAACAGCAGAAAAAGUGCUUUCUCUUGGUGCUCAAAAAUAAUUUUCAUUCUUGGCCAAACAUUUUAAACCUAAAAAAAACACUAUUUUCGAAAAACAUGCUUUUGACAUCCCAGAAGCUUGACCAAACAUGUUAUUACUGGUGUUUAAGAACUGUUGAUUAUCUUUAAACUAUGGAUUGCAAGGAUUAACAACUUGUUUGGAUGAUUGUUACAUAUUGUAUUGUAUCAUAUUAUUACUUUAAAUAAUUUUUACUUAAAUAUUAAUGUAUCGUAUCAUUAAAUACAUUGUUACAUAAUGAUGAAAAGUACUACCUUAUAUAAUGACAUAUUUGGUGUGAUCGCAUCGUUACCUUAUUUUUUUUCUCUCAUCUUACCCAUUUCUAGUGUGGUUUAUUACUUUAGAUAUAAUUCAGAAGCUUCAGCAUGUUGGAGUUACAACAAUUGGCAUAUGGUAAAGCUUUAUCUAUACUAUAUUAAAAGGACGAAAACCUUUGGCGAAAUGUCGGUCGCCUUUUUUACCCUCUAACAUAGAGUUCAUACUAGACAAAAUAGUCAUUUAAUCAUUUUCCUAAAAUUUUGGACUUUGAAAUCAACUAAAAAUUUAUUUAUUAAAUACUUCCUUAUUUUAAGUUUUUAACUAUGUACAAGUUCCUAAAUAUUAUGACUCUUCUUAAAUCCUUCUAAGUUUCCAAGUUUUCUUUAACCAUGUUAGGAACCGUUAGGCUAUUUUUUUCCAAGUCUUUGGCCUUUUUAUUUUGAUAAAAGAAUAAUUUACAUAUUUAGUCUCAAACUUAGAUAGUUAAAUAUAAUAAAAUUCUAUCUUUGUCCAAAUCCCCGUCGGGCAUAUUUAUUUUUCAAGUCUUUACCCUUUUUAUUUUUUUUAUAAAUAAUAUAAAUUAUGCUUGAAUUUAAAUAGUUAAACAUAAUAAAAUUUUAUCUUUGGCCAAAUCCAAAUUAUACAUAAGUUUUACACCUUUUUAGUCUAUUUCUGUUAGACUUAUCGGCUAAUUUGGUAAGCAAAAUAAGCUUUUUAACAAAUUGUUCUUUUGAAUUUUGGUUUCUUCUCUCAGUUUAUUGAAAUGUUACGUUAACUUUCGUCCUAAAAUACCAUAACCAUAUUAGGUGUAGUUGGAGCACUUGUACAUCUCAUUAGAACAUUAAAAUCUAUAUCUAUCUAUCUAUUUAUAUUAUAUUAAAAGCAUAAAAGCUCUUAGCAAAAUGUCAUUUGCCUAUUUUUUCCUUUAAAACUAGAUUUUAUACUAGACAAAAUAGUCGUUUAAUUAUUUUUUUAAUUUUAGGACUUUAAAUCAACUAAAUUUUACUAUUAAAUUUUUCCUUAUUUAAAGACCAUUAAUAUUAGAGUUAUAUUGAACUAUUCCUAUAAGAUUCUUUAUUAUGCAAAACAUGAGUUAGCAAAAUUCUUUAGGAGUCAAACACGCAAUGAAUUCUGAAAAUAUAAAGAUUCAAGACAUAUGAUUUUUCUUACUAUUUCAAAAUCGAAUAUUAUUGGAAAAAUUAUAAUUAUUCUCAAAUAUUUUAAAAACUAGAAUGAGCAAAUAUUCAGAAUUUGAAAUAAUAAAAUUUAAGCUAUUUCUUUUAAUGUUGAGAAUAAAUAAUUAAGCCUUUGAAUUAACUAAUUAGAAAACGAAUCCAAUUCUAUUAUUUUAACAAAUUUAUCAUAUAAGAAAACUAUUUGUUAAAUUGGAAAAACACUUAAAGUACAUAAAAUUAAUUUUUGUAAGAAGAGUAUCGACCGUGAAAGAAAUCAUAAAAUAUAGCAAAAUUAAUUACAGUAAAAAUGAAGAUUCAAAUCGGUAAAAAUAUAAAUUUGAAGCAAUAAGGUAAAAUUGUAGAAGGCAACUAGAUUAUAAAUGAGUUGUCAUUUGUUUUGUUUCUUGCAUUCAGUCCAACAAAUGAAAACGUCUCGCUAUAAUUUUUAUACUAAGUUUUUUCUUGUAAAAUAUUAGUUCAAUAUUAGUCAUUCUUUAAACUUUACAUUGUCACUAUUUUAGAAAGUAUAAUGCCAACUUUUUUCAUUCGCAAAAUUUUAAAAGACCAAAAGAUUUAAUUUUUAAUUUGUGUUAUUUGAUAAUUUUUUAAGGAAUUAUAAAUAUUAACAUAUUUAUAAGUUUCGACAUAAGUCCGGACAAAAUAACAAUAAGGCAUCUAAAUAAAAUUCCUUCAUUUGUUAAACUAACUAAAUGGGAAUAAUAUUUAUUAUUUUAGAAAAAAAUCUUAAAUUAUAUUUAUAACUCAAACAAAUUAUCUAAUAAUAUGUAUGUAAUUUUUAAAAUUUGUGUAUUCAUUAGUAUAGGUACACGCGCAAAGCGCGUACCUUAAGACUAGUAUAUAUAAUUCCACGAGGUGUAAAUUCCCUCUUUUUUGGUAGGAUAGGGAGAAAGGAAAUUAAAUGAGGAAAAUAGGAAUAAACAAAAAUUCCAAGUGAGGUGAGUGCAAUAUAGUUAAUAGUUGCAGAACAAAUUAAAGUUUCUCUUACAUCUUAGGGCAUCUAUAACAUUGAUCAAGGUAGUAAGCGAAAAUAUAUAGUAGCUCUUCUGCUGUAAGAAUGCAUCUUUAAGCAUUUUAACGAGAAUGCAGAUUGAUAGAAUGCUAAUGAUUAGAAGAAAGGAUGGCUAUCCUUAAGCAUAUAACAAAGCGCAACAACAUUAGAACUUCAGUGCCCAAAAAGAAAUGCAAGUUGUCACGACCCAAAUUCUCAAUAAAGGGAUCGUCAUGGCGCCUAACACCACUUGCUAAUCAACCUAAUACUUAACAGAAAUAAAGAAACAAAACUAGGCAUAAAACAAUAUGAUAUCAAAAUAAAAGGAAAAGCUCAAAAAUACGUAACGAGUCAAACCAAAACUUUUUGCUCACCCGGUGAAAGACAUAGUAGGUAAAAAGGCUAUUGGUUGCUUUACUUUCUUACCUCGGGCAGGUUGCAAAAGCUACUAACAUUAGUCUAAUAACCUCCUAGAACUGGUGUCACCGAACACAUGAGCUUCUAAGGAUUUACUAAAUACAAUGUCUGAAAUGACGAAUAACACUAUUUGAUACAAAUAAACAAUAGAAGAUCUAAUAGAAAGGUGACUUUAAGGCCUGCCUACGAGAGUGCAACUGUCACAACCCAAAAUCUCAUCAUAAGGUUCGUGAUGACACUUAUUUCCUAAGACGAGGUAAGCCUAUCACAUAACGACAUCAAUCAGAAUAUAACAACUUAAAAUUAUUGAUAGAAAUUUUGAAAUGUCAAAACACAACCAAAAUGGAGAUACAACAGUCAUCAUCUCUAAAUCUGGUAAUACAGAGUCAUAAGCUCUAUAUGGAAUACAUAAAAAGUCUCAAAAUACAUCACAAUUUGGGAUACAUAAACAAUAGAAAAUGAAAUAAGAGGGUAAUUUCGAGGCCUACGAACUGAACGACAGGUAUACCUUGAAGUCUCCAAGAGCUCUCGAUCAACUCUCUAAUAACCAAUAUGAUCUGAGGUACCUAGAUCUGUACAAAGAAUGUGCAAAAAGCGUAAUUUGAGUACACCACAAUCGGUACACAGUAAGUAUUAAGACUAACCUCAGUAGAGUAGUGACGAGAUUCAAAUCAAGACACUCACUAGUCAGAUAACAUGUGCAAGAUAUCAACAUAACACUGACGACAUAAGGCAUAACAGAACAAAUAUCAACUAAGAGUGGAGCAUGUGACAACACAACAAAUCCACCAACAACUCAUAAAAACACAAGGUGAAAUCUUUUAAGAAAAACAAAGAUAUGUUUAAAAUAUGAACCUCGUUCCAACACAUAAGCAACAUCAAAGGAAACACACCGAAAUACCACAUAAAAUCAUCAAUAAUUCCAUCCUUAUGUCGUCGCUUCGCAUCACAAUAAAAUAUUUUUUCUUAUAUUGCUACACGCGCAUAAGCCACACUUAUCUCGCCGCAUGCGCAUAAAUAAACACAUCUCUUAUGUCGCCGCAUGCUCAUCUCUCCACCCUUAUAAUCCACAAAACAACAA
rnacentral:lncRNA from 1 species